rnacentral:lncRNA from 1 species
AAUAAAAUAAAAAAAAUCUGAUCACUAAUGUGCUCUUGGUGUAUGAGUUCAUUUCAUAUUCAAUACAAUAAAAGUUGGCACAUAUAAAACAAAUUUCGAAUGUCUAUUUGAUUCUAAAUCUGUUUCACUGUUCAUGUUAUAAAUUAUCACUCCUUUUAUAUAAAGAUUGAUCAUGAACACGCAACUGAAAUAGAGACUUCAGCUAUAUAUUUUUCUAUAUUACUGUGUUUGCUUCAUCUGAGCUGGACUCGACUAAGUAGCAUGAUGCGAGAGAUGUACACCUACCGAUCGAUCGAUGCGGCACGCAAUUAAUUUGGCAACGGAACAAUUGUAUUGCGUUGGGAUAUCUAGUUGUUGGCACUGUUUUGUGGUCACUGGUGACAAAAACCAAACAAGCAACUGUCCCAUGUGGCCUCCUUUCAAUAGCACUCAAUGUGUGGAGAUUGGAGAAAGCAUGAAUUAUGAGUUUUUAUGGCUUUUUUUUUUCACUUUUGAAUUCCACAUUAAAAAGAAAAAACUAUGUUCCUAGCUACUUAAUUCCUAACUGCUAGCUAGAUAAGAAACAGCUUUGUUAACGGUUACUACUCUCUUUUCUUCUAUGUCACAAAUAUAUGUAUAUGUGUGUGUGUGUGUGUGUGUGUGUGUGUGUGUACUUGUAGUAAUAAGUAAUAUAUAGUAGGUAAGUGUAGUCGUGAGACGAGUAGUUUCGUGAUAGUCAAUUUUGAAGCUUAAGUUCUCACUAUGGAGAGAGAGAUCUAGAGAGAGAGAGAGAGAGAGGAUUUAGGAUUAGUUUAUGAGCAUUUUAAGGAAGCAAAAAGAUGCAGCAUCAUCAGGAGAUUUCAUUGUCGGAGAAUCCUAAAAUAUUGUGAUCGAUCCAAAAGAUUCAUAAGACAAAUAUAUAGCUUUCCAAAUCUCUAUCAUCAUCACCCGAGUCAUUUAAAAAUUUAGGGCAAGAGCUUGCAAGGGGCCAAGAAAUUGAAUCUAGCUCACCUACCAUAUAUAUAUAUAUGCUUGGCUACAAGACUCAUGAGAUCAUGUCACGAGGGUAUCUCUCACACCACCAAGAAGCUAGAGCAUGGACCAUUACAAUUAAGUCAUUGGGUUGGCAAAUUCAUUGAUGCCCCUAAGACAAAGCAUGCAUGAAUAUCAUCUCGCUAAAAACUAUUCCUAGGUUGUCACCGACGCAUGUACUCUUUCUUUUUUUUUUUUCUCUGAGAGAGAUAGAUAGCACGCUAUCCGCUUUGUUUAUUUCAUUUAGAAAUAAACUUUGCUGGAAAUGUGAAUCAAUUAGGAUUCGAACUUGAGAUCUCAGGUACCAACCAGGCCACCAAGCCCUUUGCCACUUGCUCUAGAGACAGUCGGUCACGUACUCUUAUUAAUUAUAUCAAUUUAACGCUAACAUACUAUCAGAGUUAAUUAGUCUUAAACACCGUCAGUUUAAUGAAAUCGUUAGUUCAAUUCUCCCCAUCAGCAAUGCAUUGGCUAGUUAAAUAUCUAUAUAUCGGUCAUAUUUUUCUCCGAUCUCUCCUGUCAAGAUAUAUAUGUAUUGUGGUCCUCAUAUCCACCAUGCACAUAGCUGUUUCCUAUUAGAUCGAUUUAGUAGGUACAUGACAAAAAUUGAUGAAUAGCAAUCUCUCUCUCUCUCUCUCUCUCUCUCUCUCUACAACCCAUGUCAAAAAAACAGCAAAGUUAAGGCUGUAACAACUAGCUAACAAUGGCUAGGUUUCUAAUUAAUAAGUCCAACCCCAUGUAAAUUUUGGAUGAAUUAAUUAUAGAAUAGAAAGAAGAAAAGAUUUUUUUUAAAAAAAAAAAAAACAAAAGAAACCAAUCCUUAGUUUGUACGAACAGGAUAAAACUUAAGUGGGGAGCUCUCCACAACGCGUAAAGCAACAUAUUUUCUUACCGAGCGAUGUUAACCCCUACAAUCCAAACGAAUCCUAUCGUGGCCUUAAUUUUCAUCUAUAGUCUUGUCAAUUUCUUUUUUUUUUUCUUUUACUAAAAUUUGAAAUUAUAUAACUCUUAUAUGGAUGUUUCUAAUCCUGCAACUCCCUUUGGUUUGCAAACUAAUUAGUAUUCAUUUUAAUCUUAUAUUACUCCUAAUUAUGAUCAUUUUCACCGCGGUGAGUCUGAAAUGAAUUUCAAAUCUACGAAGAACAUCUAAAGUUAAUUUUUUUUUAAGAUAUGUACAAAAGCUACCACGCGACAGUAGAUCAGAAGCUUCCCUAUGAAAAGUCAUCGGGGACCUCCCUACACAAGUUUUUUCCUCCAUGGACAUGUACUAGAGGAGCUAAGAUACAAGAGAAGUAGGUAAGAGAAAGGGACCUGAAAGAGACAUGGUAAUUAGCUAUAAAUAAAAGAGAGUAGAGAGAUGAGAUGAGAUGAGAUGAGAUGAGAUUUGAAGCAUUGAGCUACAAUUGUGGCUUUUGAAUUGGGACUAGGGCCCCCAUGUCACACCACCAGUGGGCAUGACCUAACUAGAUGAGAAUUAUUACCUACAUCUAGUGUAUAAAUGUAUGAGAUACACUACACCACUAAAAUAUAUAGGGCCGUUCAAAUUUUGUGUAACGAUACGUGCAAUAGUUUUUCAUGCGUGCUGCUGCACGCGGGGCCGUAGAAAAUUGCUCCAAAAUGCUCUGAUAGAGGUUUUUAUUAGGUUUUAGAAUUAAAAUCUAAUUCACAUAAUAUAUUCUAUGAUAUUCAUAUGGCCUACAUACAAAAAAAAAAAAAAAAGAGGGAAAAAUUCCAUGAAUUUUGAAUGUUGACCUCGUAUGUAUCAAUCAAUGGUCCUUAAUUUAUAAUUGUUAAGAUUUCGUGUUGCACUCUCCAAAAUGCUAGGAUAGAGGUUUCAAAAAUAAAAUCCAACUCAUUGACUAUGUUCUAUGAUUUUCAAAUGUCCUACGUACAUAUUAAGAAUCAUAAAUUUUGAAUAAUUAAUAGCUUGCAGAUCAAAUAAUGCCUUUUUUUUCUCUACUGUGGAUUGGAAAUUCUACUUAAUAAGGACUGCUUGAUUGUUUAGUAAAUUAGUUUUUCGAUAUUGUAGAUCGUGUGUGUGUGUGUGUAUAUAUAGAGUUAGGCUGAUAUACUAUCGAUAGUACGGAGACCUUCGUGCUACCAAGUUAUUUUCAAUUAUACGACUUUCAAAUCGCCGAUCGGCUCCGUUAGAUUUGAUCUACACUAUUAAAAAUAUUUGAAAACUAAAUUUCAUAAUUUUUCGACAUCAUUUACCUAUCAAACGAGUAGUCUAAAAAUAAAUGGCUGAAAAUAAAAAUCUCAUAAAAAAUAAUGAUAAAAUACUUGAAUUUAAGAUCAAAGAUAUUCAUCUUACUCUAAAUAGUGAAAAGAAUUUUCUAUAAAAAAUUCAUCAAAUUUGGAUUAUUUUACACCGUUAAAUUCACAAACACAUCACACCGACCAUUAAAAUUAUUAAUUUUGAGAUCUUUUGAUCACUAACCAAAUGGUGUUGAAAAAUUAUGAAAUUUAGUUUUCAAAUACUUUAUUUAGUGUAGAUCAAGUCUAACGGAGCCGAUUGUCGAUUUGGAUGCCGCACCAUUGAAAACAACUUGAUAGCACGGAGGCCUCCGUACUACCGAUAAUAUACCAACCUAUCUCAUAUAGAUUAAAUUUGGAUCAAAAGAUAUAGUAUGCUAGGAGUUAAGUGUGGUGCAUGAGGCGCAAACGGGUGCACCGGGUGUAGGCAAUAAUGUCUUGUGGCUCGGGCCAAAAAAAACCCAUGUGGCUGGUCCCCGGCCCGCGCCCGCCAUGCACAUGAUCAAAUGAUCCGUUUACAAUGUGCCCGUGCCCGUGCCCGUGCCCGUGAGCACAUUUUUAGGUGGGUUAUGAGUGUGGACACCACAUGUGGGACUAGUCACGCUCGAGUGAUGGACGUACUAACAAAUUAAAAAUUAUAAUUAUAAUAUCUUAAAAUUUUCACAUUUGUUGGUUAAUUUGCGGAUUAUUCGCGAAUUAUUCGUGAAUUAUUGAAAAUCCGAAUUAAACGAUCCAUUUACGAAUUUUUACCAAAGAAAAUGAAUUAUUCGCGAAUUUUUGGAGUAGCCGAAUAAUUCGCGAAUUAUUAAAAAUUUGAAUAAAAAACUUAUAAUUUUUAUAUUUAAAUAUAGAUUAUCUUAUAUUUUAUAUUUUAUACCGAAUUCGUUUUUCAAGCCGAAUAUUUCAACGAAUUUAAAAAUUAGAAAACGAAUUUUAUACGUCCUAUACUCGUUCCGAAUUUUUGCUGAAUCUGAAUUAACUAAGUAUGGUUUCACAUCAAAUAUAUGUAUAUUUAACAAUAAAAUCAUCAUGUAUGACUGCUCUAAAAUUUAUAGAAUCUAGGCAUCAAAACAGCCAUAUAUUAGAUGUCGUCGGUUCUAUGUGUGAUAUCCAAAUUAUUCCACAUCGGAUUAUUAGUAAUAAUAACUGGAUUUAAGCAUUUUGUAUUGAUGGUUUUAGUCCAACGAGUUAUUAUUGCUAGUGGGUCGGAUCAUUACGUUUGGUAUCAGAGCCGGUUCACUAACUUAAAGUGUAAAGUGGCCCUCAUAUCGCCUAGUAAUUUUGAGCUGUGUGUGUUUGUGCUAACAAGGGCGUCUCUAAGCAGGUGAAGUAUGUAACACCCCAAAAGAAAGUCCCAAAUCGGAUUGGAAAGCGGUUCUAAUUGGGAAUAUAUGAGAGCUCCAACUUUGGAUUGGAAGUUGGAAUUCUGAUUGGAAAUAUAUGAGAGCUCGCACCCUAAUAAUAAUAACUGAGUUUAAACAUUUUAGGUGCCCCACGAGUUAUUGAUAUAUAUGUAGAGUGUAGUGAAAACACUAUUUAUUUACUACUAGAAAAUUAAAGAGUAUUCCUAUGUCAUCGAAUCUUUUUCUUCAUAUUGUUACACAAAACUGUGCAGUGCAAAGAUACAAUGAUAUACUCACAAAAAAACUAGAUUUCUUACAUUAAACUUGCUUAUCAUAGAUACAAAUCUAUCCUCAUUGCAAAUACAAAUGUAUGCUCAUCAGAAAUACAUAAAGCUGCAGCAAAAAGAAGUACAUAACAUGUAGCUGCUCACAACUUCACAACAUAUAUAUCCUUAUCAUAGAUACAAACAGGCAAUGAGGAGUGCAAUUGCAAGUGAAAAGAAAUGCAAUUUCACUAAUGAACAUCACAGAUACAUAGAUAAUUAUAGUACACAUGCAUCAUUCUGUAUUGUUCAUGGAACCAUGCAUGCUUCAGUAGUCACAAAUUGUUCAUUCUAAAUGUGGAACCAUGCUCCAUUUAGCGAAAUGUUACCAAUAUUAUCAGAUUCAUUCAAAGUAUUCAAAAAGCAGCACUAGUUACUUAAAGUACCCAAAAAGCAAUCAAAAAUUACAUCCAUUCAGAGUAUAUAUCCCAAAAAUAUAAAUGAAAAUUUCUUUUUAAACAUCUCCACUGAUUUAGUAGGCCUCCCAUUUCAUCAAUUGCACUCAUGGCUUGACUUUCUUAGUACUCUCAGGCUGGGUUUGGUUUGGGUAUAAGUAAGAACUGCUUAUUUCAGGAAUAGGUACAAGUUCAGAUAUAAGCAUGAAUUAGAUUAAUUUUGCAUUUAGAUGAAAAUUGGGUUGUUCUUAGGAAUAAGAUAAAUAAUGUUUGAAUGGUUAAAUUAGAACAAGAAGAAUAAGAGUUAUAAUUUGAAAUUAAAAUUAUAUUCUCUAAUUAAUUAACAUCAAAAUAUUACUUAAAAAUAAAUAAUAAAUAAAUUAUUAAUAAUAAAUUAUAAAUAAUAAAAUAAUAAUAUCGAUUAUCUAAUUAUUAAUAAUUAUUAUUAAAUAAUUAUUAUUAAUAAUUAUUAACAAAUAAUUAUAAAUUAUAAAUAAUAAAUUAAUAGUAAUAUCGAUUAUCUAAUUAUUAGUAAUAAUUAUUAAUUAAUAAUAAUAUCGAUUAUCUAAUUAUUAAGAAUAAUAAUUAUUAAUAAUUUNUAAUAAAUUAAUAAUAAUUAUUAUCUAAUUAUUAAUAAUUAAUUCUAAAUAAUUAAUUAAUUAAUUAUUUUAUUAUCUAAGCAAUAAAUAAUAAUUUAAAUAUAUUAAUUAGAUUAAUUAAUAAUUUACUAUCAUUAAAAUUAAAUUUAAACUUUAAUUAACCUUGUUCUCAUCCGGGAACAAGUUUGUUCCAGAAAAAAUGUGGAAUAUCAGUUCCAGCCUUAUACCAGCUUAUUUCAGGAACCUGAAAACUACUGUUCCCGGACACCAAAUGCAGCGUUUGGGAACAAAAGGGGGAAUAAGGGCUUAUUCCCCUUCUUGUUCCCGAACCAAACGCUACCUGAGACUCCUAAUUCUCCAGAUAUUUGAUUUGCUCUCCCUUUUGAUGUUAGUCUAUUUUCUUUGCCCUUGUACUUUCAAUAACGAUGUAACACUUAAAAAAUUCUACAUUAGAUGGGAAAGGAAUUCUAAUUGGGAAUAUAAGAGACUACGCACCCUAGUUAACUGGACGUAAGCAUUUUGAGUCAAUGGUUUGAGCUCAAUAAAUUAUUAUUGUUAGGAGGCCGGAUCGUUACAUUUGGCAUCAAAGCCGAAUGCCAGUCAAAAGUAUUAAAGCUAAGUACUAUGCGGGACAAAGUACUGCGUCAUGGGUUUAGUGGGAGCCACAUCUUGAAUCCAUAGGAACCAUAUCUAGAAUUAGAGUUUGUAACGCUCCAAUAGUCCCAAGUCUCGCGCUCUAGUAAUAAUACCUAGGCUUAAGCAUAUUGAAUCGAUGAUUUAGGUCCAACAAAUUAUUAUUACUAGCAGGUCGGUGCUAGCAGGUCGAAUCAUUACACAAUAUUCGUCAAGGGUUUUAUUUUUAACAUUCUUUCCAUUGCUAGCACUUGCUUGAGAUGGUGUUUCAGGUUGACACAAUAAUGUAGCAGUUUGUUGUUUCAUUAUUUCCUUUUCGGUUUUUUUUUUUUUUUUUUUAAGUGUAACUUUUAGAGACCAGUGCAAAUCCCAUGAUGAAAAAUUUUAUGAGCACCGCUUCUGUGGUGAGACUAUCAAAUUACUUGUCCAUCACGUGGAUGCCCCAAUUUUAAAGCGAUAAGAACGGUGGAUUUGAGAGUCUCGCGAUGGAAUGGUUCUUCAUAGUGGGUAACAAAAUGGUAACAUUUAAGUGGUGACUCCCAGAUUUGUGCUAGUUGUGGGUCCAUUGGGUGCAAUGAGAAUGACUCUGUAAUUGUUUGAUUUGGUCUCCUAUUUUGGUUUAUCAACUCUCGAGUUCCCUUUUAGGAUUGGAUGAGUCACUUCUCAGAAGGAACAUAAAAUGUUGGAAAGGAAAAGGAUUUCUUGUGGUCUUGGCUCAAAGCUUCAUCAUCCAAUCUUGUUGGAACCUACUUAUUCACAUUGUCUCACAUCAAAUACCUCUCGUGUCGAGAUCUGUUUGGUUCAUCUAUUUUAGACACUGGAAUCGGAAUGGGAGUCUCUGAUUUUGAUAGUUGUUGUUAUUUUAUAGGAAGCAUAUUACAAUUUUCAUUCCUCUCCGAAAUGAAAAUGUUUCAAUUCAUUUAUGGUUCAAUCUGAUUUUAAAUUCUAAUACUCAUUGGAUUGUGUACUAUGUAUUGAACAAAUCGCGUACCUAUUCUCACGUCCUAACAACACCUAAAUGUUACUCGACUAAUCGUUGCAACUUCGAUUUGGGACCGUUGGUCGAAACUGCCGAUAUUUUUUGCAUUUGUCCCACUUCAAUUGCACCGUCCAUCGGAAUAAUCUUAAGUUCGAUACUCUCGCGUGUUUAUUUUGUUGCUUUUUCAUUGUCGAGAUUAUAUAGAUUCUAUUGGUAAAAUUCAGUUCUAUUUAAAGGGUUUUAGAACAAUGGUAACGAGCACUUUGCCUUCUUUUCCUUUUUCUUUUUGUAAUUUUAUGUUCUCUCAGGUUGCUUGGAUCCGGAACACUUCAAAAACUUCAAACUUGUCGAGAGGAAGCAACUAAGGGCCUGUUUGUUUUCUUUGAAGUUCUUCGUGGAGUGGAAGUGGCCACUUCGUAGAAAGUCACAAUAUCCCAGUUUCGGAGUAGUUCCUAAAAUUUGCAAGUUGGUGGGUUCUGUAUAAAAUUUAGGACAAACUUUAAAUAUCAUUCCUGUGGUUUCACUCUUUCUCAUUUUAAUACCCUGUAGUUUAAAGUGUAUCAAGUUAGUAUCCUGUGGUUUCGCAUUUUCUCACUUUAGUAUCCUAUGGUUUAAAGUGUAUCAAGUUACUAUCAUAUGGUUUCGCACUUUCUGACUUUAAUACCCUGCAGUUUAAUAUUUUAUUAAAAAAAGAAAAAAUCACAGAGUACUAAAAUUUAUGCACGGCCCAUCUCAGCAAGCCCUCACUUCAUGUACGGCGCGAAGUCGCGACUUCCUGUGAACAGCGAGUGUGGUCGAGUUCCGCGAAGUGAUGGGCGCAAUGGGCUCUAAUUCACAGUUAUCAAACUUGUCCAGAGUCAUAAUGUGGCUAAGUUCUGAUCUGACUUCAAUCUCGGCUCUUUUUUAUCUAGACAUCAUAAUAUUCGAAUGAAUACAUUUCACGUCUGGUCCUUAAACUUUAAUUUGCAGUAAUUUUUUAUUUAUAUUUUCAGAAUUAUUGAAUUAAGUCGUACAAUUUAAUUUAGUUGACUAAAAUAUUGAUAAAUUGAUGUGACGAUAAUUAAAAUGCUAUAUCACUUUUGCAAUUGUGGAGCGCAGAGUAAAAGCGACUAAUUUAUACAAGACAACCUAUGUUAUUAAUAGUGCUCAUUCAGCAUUUUUUUUCUCCCCCUCUUCCAGUGGACUCUGUAUGUAAUGUAGAGAUGCAAACGAGGUGGAUCGGGGGGCGGGAGGGGUCCUCUACCUCCCGCGCUGUUGUUUUAUUGGGUCGAAGCGAAUUUAAAAUGGAUUAGUUUUUAUUUUAUAUUUUGCUCUCAUUUACCGCUUUAUUCGGAUCGGAUCAGAAAGGGAGCAGAUUUUUAACGGAUUGGGACGGAUCAAAAGAAAAAUAAGGUCUAUCAUCUCUCGUUUCAUUUUCUUAACGAAUCGGAGAGGAUUUGGGACAGAUUACCUUUUUCUAUAUUUUUGGCUUCUACUUACCAUCCUAUUCGGGGCAAAUUGGACCAGGAUGUCAGGGGUUAAAUACUGGAAAAUUUUAUGAAGAACCCUCAACUGUAGACCGUUUUAACUUUGUUCUUGUUCGAGCGAUAUUUUCUGCUUUAUUUUAUUAUCCAAACUCAUUUAGUUGAUAAAAUGAAAAUUCUAUUAAUUUUGGUUAUAUAUUAGGUAUUUAUUCUAAAUUGCUUAAAAUCUUCAAAUUUAAUUAAAUAAUAAUUACUUUUAAAUUAAAAUUACUAAAUUUCAAUUAUAAACAUUAAAGUUCAGGAAGUCUUUUCAAAAUAGAUUAUAGUUGAGGGUGUCUCUUCACAAAUUUUCACCUAAAUAAUUAAGUAAAUGAAACUAGAUCCUACAAACACGUGUGACUCAUGUGGUGCAGAUUUGGUUGACAUUUACAAAGAACCCCCUCAACUUAAUUCCCUCAACUUAAUUUAUUAUUCAAAUCCCUCGACUUUUUAUUUUUUUCACUAUUAGGUGAUUUUUUUUUCAACUACGUUAAAAAUUUUAUCAUAUUUAUGGGUAAUUUAAUCGUACUUAAUAGUUUUUGAUUCUUUUUACCAAAUGAAAUUUGGAUAACACCUUUUGGAUUCACACCCCCUUAACUUUAGCCUUUUUACAAUUAAGUAAUUUUUAUCAACUAAAUUAAAAAAAUUAUCAAAUUUAUGAGUAAUUUUAGCAUAUUUAAGAUUUAUUAACCAUUUUUUAGUAAAUAAAAUUUGAAUGAUUAGCAAUAACAGCUAAUAUAACCUUUAAAUUUAAAACAUAAGUGGAAAAACUCAAAUAAAAAAAGUGAAAGCUAAAAUGGUGACAAUCAGAAAAAGAUUAGGGGCCAAUUUCUGACUAGCUACAGGUGAGGGGGUUAUCCUACGUUUUUCCCAAACGAUUUAAAAAUUCAACGUUCAAUUUCGCCCGCCAAAUCUCCCGCGGGACUAAUCCGAAAAAAAAAAAGAAAAUGCCUUUCGAAUUUUGAAUCAUUUCGAAAAAAAAAAAGAAAAAAAAAUUUCCCCUCCUCCGUUUCAAAACACCUCCUCUUCAUCUUCUUCUUCUUCGACCACACCCAAAUCCUGAGCUCUCUCUCUCUCUCUCUCUCUCUCUCUCUCUCUCUCUCUCUCUCUCUCUACCCCUCACAGAUCAUCCUCUCACUGGCGGCGCCUCCCUUUCGAGUACGUUCCCGCGCCUCCUUUCCUAUGUAGCAUCAGAUCAUUCCCUUUGAUGGAUUCGCGGGGUUCAGGUACUUUUUAGAUCCUUUUCCCCUCUAAGUUCUUGUGCGAACUCCAAUUUUGAGCUGAGGAGUUGCUCAAUCGCCUGUUUGAAACUAGGUUGUUUGUUUUCCCCAAAUUUCUUGGCUUUUUGCCGUUCAUGGCUGUUUCGAGGUGCAAAUCGUUGGAUCUGGCCGGUUUUAGGGCGAUUUCGAAGGGGCUAUGAAGGGUUUCUGGUAGAUUGAUUCAAAUUUGGUUGCUGUUUGGUGAAAAAUCGGAUCUUGGAACCUUCUGGAAGCUCCUUUCCAUUUUUUUCCCCCACCCUCGAUGUUUCCUUACAAACCCUAAUUGAGGAAUUAUGGUGAGGGAGCUCCGUCUCGAGUCGUUCUACUCACGGCUACGCGACGCUGCCUCCGCCUCGUCUUCUUCCCCUCUCCUAAUUUUUCCGUCAGCCUCGGAUGCCGAUUCGCUCUGUGCCCUAAAGAUCCUGACCCACGUCCUCUCUUCCGAUUCCAUCCGCUACUCUGUGUAUCCUGUAUCUUCGUUCACCGAGAUCGACAAACUCAUUAGCCUCAAUCUCCGCUCAUCUGAUCAGACCCUCUCUCUCCUGCUCCUUAAUUGGGGUUGCCACCGCGACCUUCGUAGGUUACUAAAUCUCGGCUCUGAAACCCGCGUCUUUGUGAUCGAUAGCCACCGACCCAUUCACUUGCACAACCUCAGCGAAAAUAACAACCGGGUUGUUGUUCUCUAUACACAAGAAGAUGAGCACCAGGCCGAUCUGGCGUAUGACUUUGAUGUGUCGGCAUUAGCUAAUGCAUCCGAUCUUAAUAGUGAUGAUGAGUUUGAUGAGAAUAGUGACAGCGAUGAAGAGAGUGAUACUGAGAAUGAUGAGGAGGAUGGCAAUGGUGGACGAAAUAGCAAGCGGCGAAGGUUGUCCAGUGAAUCUGAAACAGACCCAGUUAAGCUUUUCGGGAAGUUGAAAGCUGAGUAUUACAAGUUGGGCACUUUCCACGGAAGGCCUUCGGGUUGCAUAUUGUUUGAGUUGGCUCAUUUGUUAAGGAAGAACACUAAUGAGUUGCUUUGGCUAGCUUGUGUCUCUCUUACUGAUCAGUUUGUUCACGAAAGGCUGACGAAUGAGAGGUAUCAAGCCGGGGUGAUGGAACUCGAACAACAUAUAAACAGUUCUGGUAAUUUGGAUAUGGUUAGUUCAGUCACACUAAAAGAUGGUACUAAGAUUCAGGCUCCUGAGAACUCUCGUAUAGCCUACGAAGAUGAACCGAGGCUUAUGCUAUUGAGGGAGUGGAAUUUAUUUGAUUCAAUGCUUUGUUCCUCCUAUAUAGCUACCAAGCUCAAGACUUGGAGCGACAAUGGGCUGAAAAAGCUGAAGCUUUUGCUUGCCAGGAUGGGCUUUCCCCUUGUGGACUGCCAGAAGAAGUUCCAGUACAUGAGCAUGGAAGUUAAGCAGAAAAUGAAAGACGAGUUCGAACGGUUCUUACCAGAGUAUGGACUCACUGAGUUCUAUUACAGAAGCUUUUUGAGAAUACAUGGUUAUUGCUCGAAAGUAUCAGCCGCAGAUGUAGUGUAUGGAGUCACAGCAUUGCUUGAAUCUUCUGCAGAACCAAAAGAAUCAUCUGCCGCUGAGCAGUUUUGGGUAGCUUACUCUGCUUUGUCGUUGAAUAAUGUUGAUCAACUAAGGAAAGGGAUGCAGUGUGCAAUUGAUAUACAGAGAGCUAUUCUUAGGCAAGGGAGCUCUGCAGUUACUAAGACUGGGUUUAUAAGAAGUGGGAGAAAAUUUCGGUGGGUGAAGCUUGAAGACCCAGUUGACACAAAAAAAUUAGGUCAUCCGCAAGCCCUUACAAAGUUUUGUUUCUUCUUAAUGGAUGCUUUGAAAGAGAGAGGUGCGAAAAUGAAGCCGCUGAUUUGUGCCUGCUUGGCUAAGGAGCCAGAGAAAGUUCUUAUUGUUGGAGUGUGCGGGAAGCCGCGUCUUGGGGCCAUAGAAGGUAACUCGUUUGGUCUUGCUUUUAAAACUGCAGCGGAGGAAAUCGGUGCGGAUUAUUUUCAUGAAUUGUUUGAGUCUUCUUGGAUAGUUUUGGAUACUGUGGCUGUUAGUUCUUUCAUGAUCAGGUUGACUGAAAAGCUUUGAUGUAAGUCUAAUCCUCAUUUAUUUGCAGUAUAUUGAUGUUAGAUGUCUAUUUUAACAUUCAUUCUUUUCAAUGCUAAAAUGGAGAUUGCUCAAUUCAGUGUCACAAACAUUGCCGGUGUAAAAUCUGUUGCUGCUAACAACUAAAGAAAGCACAUCCCUGUUAGGGUUGGCAAAUGUAGACUAUUCAACUUGUGCCAAUAAACAUAGUUGUAUUGAAUAUUCUGAGUCUGGAAUGAAAGAAUAGCUCCCAUUUAAGCUAUACUUGUCUAACUAUUACUAUUAAGCAAGAUGAUUGUUUAUUUUUCUUCUUCCUUUUUUCUCUUUUAUUUAUUUAUUUUUAUGAUUGUCUGCUGUGUAAGUUCACCAAGUGUGUGUGUUUAACAACAAGAGGAGGAGAGAACAAAUCUGGAUGCAUAUCUUAAUUUGUUGAUAUGUAUUGUAUACAUGGUUACAUGGACAUAUAUGCGGUAUUUGAUGACUUACAUGAUUUGCUGCUAUAUGAGCUUUGUUUUUUUGUAGCCUCUUCUGCAUCAAUGGAAGUGGAAUGCUGGUGCUGUUUUACUCAUAUCUAUACUUCACUUUGUGUGGUGCGGGCUUAGCCCUGUAAGUUCAUUAAGUAAGAACAAUCGAUAAAAUGAUAAAGUUGUCCUGUUGCAGGCCAUAUGGUGGCCCAAGCUAUAAGAUAGACAAUGAAAACAGAAAUACAACUAAAAUAAAACAAAACAAUAUAUUAUUCUUAAUACCUUGUCUGAUUUGUGACCUGUAACUUAUGUUAUUCUACUUCGUCAUAGACCUGUGAUUCCUUCCCAUACUUUCUAAUGGUAGGCUUCCAAAUAAUAUACACAAGUUAUUUAAUAAAUUAUAAUUGUGGCGCAUAGCAAUAAGAUCUGUUAGCUGGUGGAUUGGUAUGUGAAUUUUCGAGCAGAAGGUAUUAUUUACUUUUUCUUAGUCCUUGAGUUACUCAGUAGAUCCAAUGAUCUCUUCAUUUUGAUCAAAAUUACUGGACAUUAGUUAUGUAAAUCUUAUCGGGGUUAAGUUACAUUUCCCACAUUUUUGUCAUUAGAUCUAUUCACGUUCUCUCGUUUUUGUCAAAGUAAUAUAAGAUGCAUUUUUUAUCUUAGUUUUCUCUGGUUGCUUUCCAAUUCUGUGAAUUUACCUGACUACUAUUUGAAUACUUACUGAUAUUAAUUUUGUUUUAAUUCUGUUAUUGAGGUGAUUCUCACCUAAGAAGAUACUCGUUCCCUUAUGAUUACCAUUUGUAACUAUAUGACAUCAUCAUGAGAAUUAAAACUUAUCCUGGUUUCACUGAAGUACAAGCAAGCGAGCUGUGAGAGCUUUACAAAUACCACUAUGGGUUGGUUUGGUUUCCUGACUGAUGAUCAGUCUCAGUGCAUUUAGUUCCUCAGUCGUAGCACUACUCCCUCCUUUAGCAUAUCUUUAUGCAAUAGCUCCUAAUUAAUUCUAAUGUUUUGCGUUCAAAAUAUUCCUUCACUCUAUUGAAUUGUGUAUCUAGCUGCUAAUGUAAUUAUAGCACACUGCCUGAACAUGCAGAGUAAUGCUUUUCUUAGUUAUGCGAAACUAAAAAUUCUAUCCCUAAUCCCUCCCUGCAUUAUUUCUGUGAAAUACUACAAUACAAACUACUAAUUAAGUUUUUAGAUUGAUCUUUGACAUUUGCUAUAUGUUUUGUUUUUUUUCUUUUAUGCUUUACUUGUUUUAUUGGGUUCUUUGAAAAAUGUAGUGUUGUCUUGUCUUCUCUUGCAAGAGGCUCUAACUUUAGCUUUAGCCUUUCUCCCUUUCAAGGCACUUAACACCUUUUCAUCCUUUCUUAUUGCUGUACUACGUAGUCUCCUUGGCCCUUGCGCAUGUCAGAAGCCAUCUUGAUUGGUUUUUUUCACAAUUUAUCUCUGCAGGAGCUUAACCUAAUUUUCAUUGGAAAAUGUCAGUUAUUAUUUUAUCUUAUCUUGUGAUGCAACACUUCUACCUUAGCAUCACAUAUUUCUUGUGGACAUCUUCUUUCAUCUUGAGAAUACAAGUGGACAUAAAUUUGGCUACCCAUCUUUGCAUACGUCUUGUGGAACAGCAAAUAGUCUGGUCCAAAAACACUUUCACUAAGCACCGUACCAUUAGCUGUUGUUUUUUCUUGUGUUUAGACUGAAGUAACUCCAAUGUUGUAUUUUUGUAAUACAUUUUCUCUUUGCAAUAGCAAAGAGGAGAAGCAUCACAUCACUACAUUAACCCUCUAUCAUUGCUUUAGUUCCCCUCACACUUUAGUGUUGAGACACCGAGUGUAUCUUCUUACUUGGCGUAGCAAGGUUGUAACAUCAACUUAGAGAGCGAAUGUACAACGGGGCAACUAAAAGAACGUAGAAGCAUAUACACUUACCAAUCUUUUGAAAAGUUGAAAGCUGGCCUGUUAUAAUAAUGCACUCAAUAAUGGUGAGAGUUCAUUGAUGGAUGAUGCUUCUAUAGAAUUCACAUGGGUGUCAUCCUCUUGCUGUCUCUAUCAAGUAUUCUUUGGGUUUGUGUAAACUGUAAAGUAGGAAACUGCGACAAGUUACCAACCAAGGAUGAGUCAGGGCUCCCACAAUUUAUUCAAGACGUAAGAAGUAGUUAAUAUGCUGUUGUGUACUGGGGAGUACAACUAUUGUUAAGAAUAUCCUUUUGAACGAAAAGAAGUAAAGACGUGGAUACUGCAAAGAGAAAGCUCAGCCAAAAAAUAAUUUCUUGUAAUUGGAAUGUAACUUGUUAACCGAUUCGUAAGAACCAUACACCGACAAUUUCUAGCAUGUGCAAAAGAUCAAAAUAAUUGAAAACAUUUUAUUUCUGUUUUGUUUUGUCUUUUUGAUAGAUGAUUUUUUCCGUAAUGUCCCUUUUAGAAAAGAGGAGAAUUGGUGAAUUGUAAACAAUCUUUAGUAAGAAAAAGAAUUUGAAUUUCUUUUUUAUUUUUUUUAAUAUAAAGGUGGAAUUGACUAGAUUGAUUGGUGGCCGUUAAUUUAACAGCAUUUGAGUUUUAGAAGGUCGAAUUGACUAGAUUGAUCGGAUGACAAUUAAUUUAACAGCAUUUGAGUUUUAGGGACCGAUUUUUCCAUAAGACUAAGAUUAAAGAAGGCAUCAUGUAUUACAAUUUGUAUUUUCUCAUGAGAAUUAAGAUGGUGGCAAAAAAGGACUGACAGAUACCAGUGAUGUUUGAUGAUGAAAUGAAACUUGUCUUUUGUCUGUUUUAGUGUUUAAUGUGAUGCAAAGCUUGUCUUUUAUCUCUAUUGUUGUUUUUCUGUUUAGGGGGAUGUGACAAGCAGAACCAGUCAAUUUGUACCAAUUUUUUGUGGCAACGGACGAGAAAUUGCCAUUCUCCGUGUGAAAGAAAAUGGUGGAAUUGAAGUUUGCAUUAGAUAUGAAGUUUGCGUUAGAUUAGAUGGGUGGUAAGCAUUCAUCGUCAAUUCAUUUUCAAGUGACGAUUAUCACAGAAAAGGUUGUAGUCUCUGUUGUUAAUACGAUGAUAGCAACUGCAGCUUGUAGGUAUUAUGCCUUGUCAAACAAGCUGGUCCGUAAUCUAUGCUUAAGAUUUAUUUGCCAUGAUGGGAUGGAAAAUUUGCAUAAAAAUUUAUUGGGUGGACCCCUUUGUGUUGAUUUUACUUCAUUGCAGACGGGUAAAAUAGUAUGUUUCUUGAAAUCUUAGUUAGAAUUUUGUAUACUAGUAAAGGCAUGGAUGCCAUCGUCGUGAGCUGUUAGGAAAGUGCAAAAUUAGUAGUGUGGAAUCUUUACUACCAUAUGUUAAUAUUGAAAUGUAUCAGCUGAGCAGGAGCUAGGGCCGACUAGAUAUAAAAGCUUUUCUACGAGGAAUUUGGUACAAUUUCAUUCCAAAGUAGAAAAAUGUGGAAAUAUUUUGCUCUUCUUUAUGCCCAAUAUUCAGAAUGUUAUUGUAAUAGUUAUUUUCAUGACUCAUACGCUAACUUUAUUCAUGUCUUGAUCACUAGUUAAGAACCUCAGCAAUGACAAUUUCCUUUAUAACUUGAGGGAGUUGGGAGUUGGAUCUGCAUUCAUGGGCCACUUUACAUAUAUCUUUUCGUAUGUGUGUACUGGUACAUGUACAUUCGUAUGUAUGCAUGCAAAAACAUACAAAGGCAUGUAGUUGCACAUCUACACGCAACCUUACAUACAUGCACACAAAAAUGGAUUUACCGUUGUACAAAAUAACUAAUUUUCUACCUAUUGGCUGACGAUUACUUGUUUAUUAGGUACACCAUACAACACUUGCACAUUGUAUUAAAGUCAUUUACCAAUGAAGUUCUUUCGUUCCAUUAUUGAGGAACAAGUUAUCUGUGAACAUCUGAUACAGUAUUUGUUGUCGCUAGGCAAUGUAGUUUCCUUGUAUGUAUGAUAUUUGCUUCAUGAUGCUUCUAUUAGACAAUGCUACUUUUAAAUGUUGAGCUCCCACCCUAAGUUGGUGGUAUGGGGGUGGGGCUAACAUUUAUAUCCUAAGAAGGGAGCCACAUUAAAGGAUCUUUCAUUCUUUGAAAUUUCUGUCCUGAAACUAGUUAUAGCCAAGUAAGUUCUUACUGCAGUUAGUGGUAAAGAGAGCUAAUAAAGCAAGGUAAUGACAAACUUUGAGCCCUUAAAUGUUAGCAAGAGAACAUGGCGAGAAAAAAAGGUGGUCCAAGCCCCAUCUUAAUAUGGCACAAGCCUAGCCUAGAUUACAGGGAACUACGUAUAUUGUUGUGAAAAGGAUAAAUGGCCCACAAGAGUUGGCAAAACAUCUUCCUGCUAUAUAUAUUAUUGAGUGUUUAUUGUAGUGACCAAGAUGCUUUAGCGACUAUGCUUUAAUUAAACUUGCACAACAAUAUAAAGAAGACAUUUUACAAACAGGAGAGUCAAUAUUGGGAUGAAGUCAUACAGUUGGUCAUGUAAAUCUUUGGUCCUUUCUGUUAUAUUUGCCAAGUGAUGUUAAAAUAGUGUUGGUGAGUUUAGAAAACUACUUUGAGAUCGAUUUGCCAAAGUUGAUAAAUCGAUGACUAUGGAUGAUGUUUACUUUGGAAAAGUUCUCAUGUAAUAGGUCAAAAUCGUUUACGAUAGGAUUAUUGUUCUUAAAAGCUCCUAAGAUAUUUAUUGAAUCACUUGUGCGACAACAGAUCAAGUUGGACAGUUUCAGCGUUUCGGCAUGCUUAUGAAGUUCAAUAUUUUCAUUUGAAAUUCUGCGGCACUAGUGGACAUGUUAUUCACUAGCUGAUGAUGCCCUACAUCUUAGCAAUCAAUGAUCAACAAGGCCAAACAACAUAAUGUUCAAAAGCUGGUUACAAAUAUAAUUGGUCUUUUAUAGUCGGAAGAUGUUAUCUAUAUCUGUUGGCAUUUUAUAGACAAGUUAUAGAUUCCUCUAGGUUGAUUGGUCUAAACAUAGAAGAAAAGGUGAGCAAGUUGCUCCACAUCUCAGUUUGGUGAGCGCAAUUGAGUUAGUGAUUUCAUCUUUAUAGCAGAGAGAUUCAAGGUCUUUCUAUAUAUAGAAGGCCCUCUCUUCCAGAGAGAUCUUUACUUUUCGAUCAUUAGUAGAAAAUUAGUCUGUUUUUUUAUCUCAGAAGUGAAAAAUUUGUUAUCGAGUCUCUUUCAUGUUCUCACAGGCUAAGCUUGUUUCUCUCGAAGAAAAUAGAUAGAAGAAUCUUUGAUUAGAGUAGAACCUGUUUGGAUGUCGGAACAAGUUAUGUGAUAAUAACUUUUAUGAGGUCGGGUUGGGAUUAAAACCUUUACAAAAUUAUCUUAUCUUGGCUUGUUUUCCAUUGCAGGAUUUUGUGAGUUUAAUGCUGAAACCAAGAGUUAGACUAAUCAGUUUUGUCGUUAACAAACAUUCAAAGGUAGAAAAUGUUUGCCUACUCAAGUGAAAAAAUGUUAUCGCAUAAGUACAACUAUAUAAAACAAUGUUUUCUUCACCUCCAGAGAGUAUAUUCUUCCAUAUUUUGCGUGAAUUUUUGAUUGGACAAAAUGUUUAGCGCUAUGUAUAUAUUUCUCUAAUGCCAAGUUUCUCUUUUCCUUCUUUUGAUUGCUUAUUCCCCAUGAAACUGAAAAAACCAUGAAACCAAAACGAGCCGACUAUUAUGGUUCAAUUCAGCUUUUGUCUCUGAAUGCUUUGAUCUUGCUUUGUGAAAUCCUCAAACCGAAAAUUCCCGUUUGGUUUUGGCUUCACAAAUUGAAAAAUCAACCCAAACCGAAAAGUUGAUAUUUAGGAUUUCAACUAAUCUCUCUUUUUGCUACUACUUUGAGUACCUAAGUUCUGCAUUGUUCAAAUUAUUCUACAGUUAUCAAAGUUAUCUUAUAUAUUCUCAUAUGCGCAAACUUUUCAUGUAAUGGAGUACACUCGGAAUGCAUGAAGAGUCCCUUCUUCAUUAACAAACCUAUGAGAAGUUCCUUCUGAAAAUUUCUCACCCUAUUUAACUUUUAUGUGUAUAUCAGCUGACAUCCAUGAACACUGUUGAAGAGAGCAGCACAAGGAGCCUCAUUGAAAUUGCCACCCACAUAUCCCUCAAAAGCCUUAAAUUGGACAGCAACCGGACCGAUCGAAGGGACUCGGUCUGUGGGGGUCCAUCUUAAUCGGCAAAAAUUAAACUCCAGUUGUUUCUUUCUUGUUGCUUUUAAUUUAUUUUUGCACUUAACUGUUUUGGCCCACCAAUAAUUUGCCCAAAUAAAUGGAGUUUCUACUGCAUAUCUUAUCUCUGAUGCAUCUGUCGGAAUCUUAUGAGCAUACAUAUGUAUGUACCAUGCAUAACUGAACUGAGGUAGACUAGUUUCCUAAUCCCUUUUAUGAAACUUAGGAAACCACAUUCUAUACAGGAAUAUACAAUAUUUGUUGUAUGAUUAGAUAAUGGAUUUUGAAAGAGGGAUAUAAAGCGAAAGAUCGAAACAUGAAUGGUAAAUAUUGUAUAAUUUAUCAUGUAGUACCAAUAAAACUGUUUGUUCAUUCACUUAUACAUGCUAAUAAGCUACCAACCUUGCCUUUCUCAUUGGUUUCAAGGUGGUAACAAAUUAAAGUAAAUAAGUCAUUAAUUAGGCAAGCUAAAUGCAUGAUGCUUUGUUUUUCAUCUCAUGCAUAUACAGUUGUUGGCGAUUUUAUAUGAUGUAUGAAUUAAUCAUUAUUAGAACAUCGGUUCUGAGCAGCAACCGGUCGAAAGCUCCAUAAGAUCUACCUGCCCUGUGGCGGCUUCCUCCAGCAGCCACUUCUCGAGCAAAGAAAACGGAGGCUUUUCCGUGUCUGCUACUGCUGCAUGCUGUGACCCGUAAUACGCCGAUUCCUCUGUUGAUCUCUCCCAAGAGAUACUAUUCAGCUGAUCGAACGAGAGCAGCGAUUCGAGCUCUUCGUGGCCCAUCGCGCCGCUCAGCACGCAGUUACUAUCUUGAUCACUCUUAACUUGUAUAUUGUUCCCUUUAUAAUAUGACGGAAUGGUACCGAAAGCCGCGCCGUCACUGACACUGAUCCCUUGCUCCUGUUUCACUUCAGGUUGUUUCGUAUCUACAGGCGUUGUGGACCUCAUCCAAGUUUCUAGAAGCUUUGAGAUGUUCUUGGUGCUCGAGGCAUAGGUGGAGGAGCUAGUAGCAGCGGAGAGCGGGAGAGGAGAGUGAGGAUUGUUCAUAGCAUCAGUGCUGUAGCCUUUGGACAUAAGCUCGUGGUUAGCGGUGGUCGAAUCAGAUGAGCCUACGUAGUUUCCGGCCGCGGCUUGAUACUUCUUGAUCUUCUUCUUCAGGUGGGUGUUCCAGUAGUUCUUGAUAUCGUUGUCUGUCCUUUGAGGGAGGUAAGAAGCUAUAGCCGCCCAUCUGCGAGGUAAGAGGUGUUUAUCAGUUUCUUGUUUCACAUCAUAUCAGAGUAGAAUAUGCUGAGCUCGAAUUCCACUUUGCGACUCCCCAUAUAUAGUUUAAGCUUUUAGAUAAUCGGUUGUUUUCGGAAUCAACAGAAAUCCAAUGGAGAUGCAACGGAAUCUUGAUUUUGAAACUUCAUGGUUCUUGGAUUCAUAGAUACAAACAAGUGAGGGAGAGAUGAACAUAUAUAUAUAUAUAUAGGAGGAUUAUUAAGUACCUGUUACCUAGCAAAGCUUGGAGAUGGAUGAUGAUCCCUUCUUCAUGAGGAGUGAAAUUUCCGCGCUUUAUUCCCGGUCUUAGGUAGUUAGUCCAUCUCAAUCUGCAGCUCUUACUACACCUCAUCAAGCCUACAAUUGAAACAGUUAGAAUGAUUCAUUUUGCAUCAUCAUCACCAUGAAAACUACAAGGUUAAGACACUGAGACUGAGGACAACAAAGACAUGCUCAGUGUUCUUUAAAGAGGCUAGUUUGCAUCUUACUAGGAAUGAAGUAAUAGAGGAAAAGUGUGCAAGAUGUUCUCACCAGUGUUGGUAGGAACUGAUCUCCAAUUCCCUGGCCCAUGUUCUUGGAUGUAUGAAACCAGGAUUAUAUCUUCUUCUGGUGUCCAUGGCCCCUUCUUGAUUCCUACUUUGUCACAACAUGGUGGCCUCCCCAUGGCUAUGUCUCUCUCUCUCUCUCUCUCUCUCUCUCUCCCACUAGCCUUCAAUUUGAGAUUAAAAUUUGUUUCAAAUUUUGGUUUCAAAUUUACUUCUCUCUCUCUCUCUAUACUUUUCCUUUCCUUUUUUUUUUUAUGUAUCUUACUACAAGAGUCUCAUGAACAUGUGCAUGAGUGGGUGUGUAUUUAUAGGAUGACUUGAAUGAGAGUGAGCUAUUCUUUUCAACAAUCAUCUACCACUCUGACCCAUUUGCUCCUCCACUCUUAUUUCCUCUUGGUAAAAAUAUAUGGAGAUUCCCUCAAGUACAUGCCAUUUUGAACAAUAAGUAGCUCCUUUGCUAUUGGGUCCUCCAACAUUAUUUGUUGAUUUGACAUUUUAAUAUCUUUUAUUUUUUUAUUUAAUUAAGUUAAAAAGCUUUAUUAAAUUAGAAUCGUUAAUAAUUAAUCUAGAAAAUGAUUAAUAAUAUGCAUGUUUCGUAUUGAGUGUCAGGUCAAAAAGAGUUGGAAUGAAAAUAUAUAGAUAUAUCAUUCUGUGUUUUCUAGUAAAAUUAUAAAAAAUAUAUCAUAAUUAAUUAAAACAGAAUGAUUUGCAUCGUGAGUUACGAUGAAGGAGAUAAACAAAAUAUUUUUCAUCGCACUCUCUAGCUCUAUGCACCCUGCUCUUAUUGCAACCUCAUAAAGAUGCUAAAAUAUAAGUUUAAUGGAAUUAUUAAUGAAUUUUGUAAGCUCUCUUAUAUAAUGCCUCAAAUUCCAAAUAAAAUUAAAAGCGCACACACACAAAAAAAAACAAUAGAAAAAUUAAGUUGAGAGGCCUUUUUUAAGUUGAGUGGGAGUAGCAUUUUCCUUUCCUUUUUUUUUUUUUUUUUUUUUUUUUUUUUAACAAAGAUAAGCUAGGUUUUCUCCUCUUUCUCUUUUGCCUUUUAAAAUCACAUGAAUAAGCAAACUCUUCACCCCAAAAAGGAGAGCUAAAAAAAAAAAUAAAAAAUAAAAAAUCACAACAUAGGCACAUAGCUAGUCAAAACAGUCUCUAUUACAUCUCAUUUAAGCCUCAUUUAAUGCUUGCGAAUUCAUGGGGAUCAAAUCACUUUCCAUGACAUUGAUCAUUCACCUCAUGAUUAUUAUUAUUAUUAUUAUUUUUCUUUUUUCUUCUUUUGUUUCCCCCCUAAUUUUGGGUACCCUUUAAGUCAAUAGAAAAAUUAAAUUUUGCAAUAAAUAAUCUUGGUUUAACCACUCUAUAGAGAUCUUCUUGUACACCACGAAGGACGUAAUCUCAUCUCACUUGUACAUGUACAACAUUUUGGCAGCGCAUACUUAUCUGUGCUUAUUAUUGUGCUCAUGCUAAUAAUAAUAAUACACACAUUUUUUUGUUGUUUUAAUUGCAUUAUAUACUGGUGGCUAACUUUUUUUUUUUUUUUUUUUUUUUUUCUUUUUUCACUUUAGUUUUUAACUUUUUUUUUGGGGUGCAAUUAUAUCCUUAAUCUUUUGAUUUUGUUGUGGUUGGGUGUCGAUAAUUCAAAUUUCUGUUAAUUUUGAUGAAACAGGUCACAUUAAUUUUUAUAAAUCUCUGUCUCAUCAUAUAGAAUAUGAGAAUGGUUCGAUAAUUCCCUCGUCAAUCUCGGCACCAAUCUUUUUAUGUUUUGAGAAGAGCUUGAUGUCACGUUCGAUGCUGAAUUCAAAAUCAUGUUUAAAAGUUGGAAUAAGUUAUUCAAGAAUAACCUAAUUCGAUAUAUAUAAGAACUUUUUUUUCUUGAUUGUAAGAACAAAUUUGAUUUUUACUCUUUAUAAUGUUUUGACAUUCACGAUGUGAUGUGAUAGUAUAUCUCAUCUAUGAGAUAAUUUAUUUUAUUAAACAAAGGUUGAAGGUUGAAUAUAGUAUUCAAUUUUAAAUUUCGAUAACACUUCUGUUAGAGUCCGUUAUUCAAAAAUGACCCUCAUGUUAGUGUCCGUUAAGUUAUCUCGAGUUAAAUCUGAGUUGAAUUUCUACUAUAGUUAAAAAUAGUAAAAAAUAUCUAUUUUGCUUCUAACUUAAGAGCAAAUAAAAAAAGUUUGUGACGGUAAAAGGGUAUAUUUGAAAAGGCAAAAGUCAAAAUACUUUUUUUGCUUUCUAAUUUAAGGGCAAAUAAAAAGUUGGUGACGAUAGAAAGAUAUAUUUAAAAGGACAAAAGGAUAAUUUUAUAGAGAUAACUACUGGUCGUAAUAGUUCACUAACAGAAUUUAACUUUAGGGGUAUAUUUGAAAGACUUUGGAAUCUUUAAAAAAUAUUUUUACUAUUAACCAUUUACGAGGGAUAAAUGAAAGUCGAAAACUUUUCAGAGGUAAAUAAGUAAUUGUCCCUAUUUUGAAAUAGGGUUAAAUGUAUUCAUGUCCCUCCAAACAUAGUGAAUUGCAAAUAUGUCCCUACAUAGUUCAACUUUCAUACGUUGUUUUUGUAAAAGUUCUAAUAUUUUCAAAUAUAUAUGUUCCUUGUAUUUGUUAUCGUUAUAGAACUGUUUAUAUUUUAAGUAAAAAGUUAUUUUUGUCAUUACAAAUAUGUUUCUCCAAAAGUCACAAAAAUAUAAUAUAAAAGGGAUAAAAAUGUCAAGUUAUCUCAUAAAUUAAUCAUAGUUAAGUAUUUAAUCUAUUAGUAAUUAAAAUUUUCUAACAGAUUUUAACGACAGAAAUAUAUUUAAAAAUAUUAGAAUUUUGCAGAGAUAAUAUAUAAAAGUUGAAUUUUAUAAAAAUAUAUUUACAAUAUAGUAUAUUUACAGAUAACUGUAUUGAAUUAACCCUUUCAAAUACGAAAAGGGAAAUAAUGCAUGCGCGAGCAAAACAAGGUACGUUCUUUUCUCCGUGGUCAAAAUGCUACUUAAUCCAGUCAUAUUGUACGCGCAAAUAUUAUUCCUUCAUGAAAUUAAUUAAAUGCUUGGAGUACCCCAAAAUGCUACCUACACUAUUAAUUUAUUGAAAAAGAAAUAUGAUAGUUUUUGACUACGUGUAUAAAUUACUUUAUAACGGGUUCAUUUGGUGUUGGGUGCCAUCUAAACGACCAAUUUUGUGACACUCCAAUUAAUAAUUUUACAUUGGAUAGUUAUAGAUAGAUAUAAAAGUAUAUAAACUUGAUUAGACUAGACAUAAUAACUGAGUUUAAUUAUUUUGGUCUGGUGAUUCGAGCCUAACGAGUUAUUAUUGCUAUCAGGGCGGAUCGUUACAUUUGGUAUUAGAGCCGGUUCACCAGCUGCAAAUAUGAGAUGAGUCUUGAUUGAGCCACAGUCGAAAUAACAAACUAAAGUUAGGGUCGGUAAAUGACAGGCUAAGUCAAGAUUGGAAUGACAAGACUAGCGCGAUAGGUCUCACGUUGCCUGCUAAUUUUGGACUCUGUAUGUGUUUAAGCCCGACGAGGACGUCAGAGCUUAAACGGGAGGAGUAUGUGACACCCCAAUAAUCUCAUAUCGACUAGUUAUGGCUAGAUGUGAGGGAGUAUGUGACACUCCAAUAAUCCCAUAUCGGAUAAUUAUGAUUAGAUGUGAGGGUAUAUAAGUUUGAUUAGACUAGACAUAGUAAUUAGGUUUAAGUAUUUUUGAAUCGGUGGUUUAGGCCUAACGAGUUAUUAUUGCUAGGAGGUCGAAUAGUUACAAGUUUAUUUUUCAGCGAUACUGCAAAAAAUAUAUGUAAACGACUUACUGUGAUAUGAUUAAUAUAAUGUUAUCUACGAAAAUGAAUGAACUAUUUUUCUCCUGCACUUUUUUAUCCUUGAAGAUGAUUUAUCUUAUCCAAAUAUAACUUAAAGGGUGAAUAUAAUAUCCAAUCUUAGACUUUGAUCACACUUCUUUUCUACCAAAUGUACAAACUUUUGAGCUUUUGCAAAAGUAGACUGUCUUUUUAGAUUUUACAGAUUUGAGCCGGAUUUUCAAAAAAUUGACCAAAAUACUCUUAUUAUCUUUUCUCUCUCCUCUUUUUUCUCUUGUUUUUUAUUUUCUUUCUCUUUGAAGAGGGCGGCGGAAGCGAAGGCGAAGGCGGCCCGCCUCGCUUCUGUCCCACGCGCCCUCGUUCUCGCCCUCGCUCGGACACCCUCCCUUUGCUUUUCUCGCCUCCGACCUAGCUGAGGCUGUGCCUUGACACACUUUUUUUUUUUUUUUCUCUCCUUCUGUUCUCCAUCGCCUCUUCGGCUCUUUAUAAUAGCAAAGAGGGCAACGUCACAUCCUCUUCCUCUUCUUUUUUUCUCUAUUUUUUUUUUUUUUUCAACCCUCUUUUACAGCCUCCCCAACCCUCCACGACGGUAACGAAAACAGCGCCGCAUCCUCUUCUUUCGCCUUCGCCGACGCAGGUACCGACGUUAGUGCUGGAGAAGAAGGACUCGAAGCAAGUGCGGGUGAGAGCGGAGCCGAAAAAAAAAUAUAGAAAAUAAAAAAAAUAAAGAAUAAAAUACGAAGAAAAAAUAAUUCCUUCUACAAGAAAAAUAAAGAAAUAGAGAGAAAAGAAGAAGAUGAUGAAUUUGCGCUGUUAGGAGAAUGUUGCACGGUUUUAGGGAAAUGUUGCACUAUUUUAGAAAAAAUUUACACGCUUUGAAAAAAACUAUAUACUUUUUAGAUGAAAGUUACACUUUUUGAACAAAAGUUGCACUCUUUGAACGAAAAUUAUAUUAUUUGAGCAAAAAUUAUAUUAUUUCUUUUCUCCCUCCUUCUCUUUCUCGUCAAAUAGUGCAAUUUUUGGCUAAAUAGUGUAAUUUUUCUUCAAAGAGUGUAAAUUUCGUUCAAAGAGUGCAAUUUUCGUCCAUAAAAAUAUAAUUUUCUCUCAAAGAGGGUAAAUUUCCUAAAAAUCAAAGCAACGUUCCCCUAAAAUAAUGCAAAUUCAUCAUUUUUUCUUUUCUCCCUAAUUCUUCAUUUUUCUUGUAGAAAAAAUAUUUUUAUUUAUAUUUUAUAUUUUAUAUUUUAUAUUUUUUAUAUAUUUUUUUCUCGACUCCACUCUUACACGCACUUACUUCAUGUCCUUCUUCUCCGACACUGGCGUAGGUGUCUGCAUCAGCGAAGACAGAGGAAGAGGAUGCGAUGCUGUCCUCGUUACCGUCGUGGAGGGUCAUGAAGGCGGUAGAGGGGGGGUUGAAGAGAAAAAAAAUGAGAGAAAAAUAGGAGAGGAAGAGAGCGUGACAUAGCCCUUUUUACUACUGUAAAGAGUCAGGGAGGCGGUGGAGGUGGGUCGGGGAGAGACAAAAAGAGGGUCGAGUCGCAGUCUUGGCGGGGUUAAAGGCGAGGAAGGCGGAGGGAGGGUGCACGGACGAGUGCGAGGGUGAGGGCAAGGGCGAGGGCGAGGGCGGGUGGGACAGAGGCGAGCGUUUCCGCCUCCGCCUCUGCCUCCGCUGCUUCUUCGGCGAGAGAAAAAAAAAAGAGAGAGAGAGAAAAAAGAAUAAGGGUAUUUUGGUUAGUUUUCUGAAUAUCCGGUUCGAAUCUGUAAAAUCCAAAAAGGCGUCCUAUUUUUGCAAAUGCUCAAAACUAAUAAAUUUUUAUGCAAAUUGGCCUAGAAAAUAUUUGCAUUAUUUUAUAUUAUUCUUUUUUUUUCUAUAUAUUGAAUAUUUUUAUAUAUUUUUAAUUUAUGAUGAAUUUAAAAUUUAAAUAUUUAUUUUAAACUAAAACAUCAAAAUUUAAUUGAUAUUUAUUUCAAAAUUUAAAAUUUAAUUUUGAUCUAUUAUAUAAUUAAAAGUUUUUAAUUGUUAAGUCAAAUUUGAUAUCAAAAAUUACAUUUAAUUUAUGGUUUAAACUCAAAUUUAAAUUUUAAUGUAAAAUAGAUGGAAAGGAAUGCUGCUUUUUAACAGAUUAAUCAUAACCGUUCGUUCUUAUUUGAUUUUUUUUUUUAAACAAAUUGGUCAUAGCUGUUCGUAGGGAAUAUUGAAAUUUUUUUAACAAUUUUUUUUUGAUUAAACAGGGAUAUACCCUAUUUGAGAGAUUUUUUUUUAGCAAUUUUUUUUAACAAAUUGAUCAUAAUUGUUCGUAGGGAAUAUUCUUUUAUUUCUUUUUGAUUCCCUCUAUCAUUUAUAUAUGCUUUUAUAUAUAGUAUAGAUAUGUUAAUACAUCAAUAUAUCAGUAGCUUAUAUAAGAAUGACACUUAACUCCAUGCUUUGACACUAUAUAUAUAUAUAUAUAGAAUUAUGCUAUUAUGCUAUCGAUAGUACCGAGCGCUUGGUAUUAUCGAGUUUUCGGUUGUUGGAUUAAAGGAUGUGGGUAAGAAUGAUAGUACGCCCUAGGGUUGAGUGAGUGGUUGAUUGAAUAAUAUAAUCUAAUGGGUAGAAAUGAUUAAAGGGUAUAUUUAACAGCAGAAAACUUGAUAGUAUCAAAACCUGAUACUAUCGAUAGUAUAUAUAUAUACACACACACACACAUUCAACUCUAGCAUAAAAAUUGGCACUUAACAUCAUGUUAUUAAAAAAUAUAAAAUAAUUUCAAACAAUUCAUGUUUGGUCUCAAAAUUUUUUGAUGGGAGGAAACUAAUUGUGCUGAAGACUAUGUAGGAAUCGAACACAAAAUCUACUAUUUUGACACCAUAUUAAAUUAUAUAAAAUAAUCAUUUUUCUCUAAUAACUUAAGUCAUUAAAAAUAAUAUUUUUAUAAUUUUAUAUUUAGAAUAAUUAUUAUCUAGAAUAGUUAGUUCAUGCGUAUGUAAAACGAAAAAGCUAAUUGUACGCCCAAAAGUGGAUGUACAUCCUACUCCCAUCCAUCCAAAGGAGGGAAGUUGCCCAGCAGUCGCAUGAUGUGACUUGUAGAGGGAAUCCCACCUUUGGAUUAGAUGGGUGUAGAUUUUACACCGAUUUUGGAGAGUAUUUGUAGCAUUGCUCAUUGUUUUAGGUUAACCCAUCACAUUAUGAUUAUAAAAAACUAAUUUUUUUAUUGUACUUUUCUUUUCUGAAAGUAUAGAUGUGAUUAAUUUGUUAUUGUCGAUGCAGUGUAAGUGUAACACAGUAGACUUUCUCGUUUAUGUAUAGAGGUGAAAAUGGUGGAAUAUGGUUGGAUUUUUGACAAAAUUAUUAUUAUUAUUAUUAUUUUUGAAUGCGAUUCACAUGUGGAUAUAUGUGGAGUGCUAAAUUUUCGUUAGCGUAUCUGCUUAAUAUUGAUUUAGAUUAAGAUAUAAGCCGGAUUUAUAUUCAAAUAUUAUUUCGGUAAGCAUAUUCUAAUAUGCAUAUAUAAGUAUAAGUUAAAAUUAGCGCGAAUAAAAUACACAUUUGCAUUAAAGGUUAACAUUUGUAUUGAAUAAAAUUUAAUAUUUUUACAAAAAUAAAUGCAAUUUUAAUAUAAAAUUUAUAAUAAAAUAAAUGAAGAACAAUAUUGAUGUAAUGACCCGACCCGAUCCGCUAGCAAUAAUAAUUCAUUGGGUACAAACCACUGCCUAAAAUAUUUAAGCUCAAUUAUUAUUACUAGUGUCCAUGAUUUUUUAUAUAUACCUAAUCACAAUCUCAUUACGUUCCAUAGUCUUUUAUAUAUCCAAUCACAACUCCAUCUCUUUUAGAUCCUGACGUCCUCGUUAGUCGAAUCACACGUAGAGCUCAAGAUUAUAGGUGAUGCAACACUGUCUCUCUAGUCUUGUCAUUCCGAACUUAACUUCACAUGUCGCUUUGUCAUUUCGACCCUGUCUCAACUGAGACUCAUCUCAUACUUUCGGUUACCAAAUAUAAUGAUCCCUGCCAGCGAGCAAUAAUAAUUCAUUGAGUCCAAACCACAGUACAAAAUGCUUAAACCCAAUUAUUAUUAUUAGUGUUUAUCGUCUCUUAUAUACACCAAUCACAAAUCCGAUUUCCAUCUGAUAUAGAAUUAUUGGAGUGUCAUAAUAGAAUAUCACUUCAUCCCCUACAAUAUAAAUUAAUAACUAUUUUAUCUCUUAAUUAGGGGGCGAAAAUGGUUGAAUAUAGUUGCAGUUUCUAAUAAACCAUAUUCACAGCCAUUUUAUUUAUUUAUUUAUUUAUUUAUUUAUUUUUUGAGAGAUAGGUAGCACGUUACCCGCUUCGUUUAUUUCAUUUAGAAAUAAACUUAGCUGGAAAUGUGAAUCAACUAGGAUUCGAACUUGAGUCUCGGGUACCAACCACCAAGCCCUUUGCCACUUGCUCUAGGGACGGUCGGUUAUUUAUAUUUUUUUCAAUACGAAUUCGGUUACAAAUAUGCGUCGAAUGCUAAAUUUUGACAUUCGUGUUGGAUUGUUGGCGCUAAUUAUUAAUCCAAAAAAUUCAAGAUGUUAGAAAAAUACGACUAAUUUACAUACUUAAAGCGUACAGACACAGUGCUCACGAAUCUCGAUUGUGAGUCAAUUCAACCAGCUUCCCGCCACUUCGAAUAUGACUCCACCAAACCCGACCUCUUGCCCUUCGAACUUGACUAGAUCUAACUUGACCUUCCAUCAUAAAAUAAAAUGCUGAUCUUUUUGAGCCAACCAUCUAUAUGCACAUCCUAUCGAAUUCGCCAUCGAAUUCAAUUCUCGGGAUUAGGAGCCCACAGACAACUUCAACAAAAAGCGGUAUUUUGGGGGAGCUCGUACCAGUACUCAAUGUGGAAUUAAUGGUAGAGUUCCCAAUCAAAAAUGCUAUGUGGAUGUGAAUGUAUUUGAGAGGUAUAUAUAUAUAUAUAUAUAUAUAUAUAUAUAUAUAUAUAGUCACAUUAUUUAAAUUUUUAGGACCUUAUCCUAGUACUAAAACGAUAAUUUUAAAAGAACACCUUCUAGAAAUGGAAACGUAUUUUUAUUUGUGCAAUAGCUUGUGGUGUGUGUGGAUCACAUGCAUGCUAAUACCCAAAUUCUUACUUUGUCACGGCCAAAUUAAUCAAAGACCAAAAAACCCAGGACUACUUCACCAACCAAAUUUAAUAACAAAAAUUGACAUAAAUGAUAAACCCUUAAUUAUAUCUCUUAUGUGAAUGACUCAUUUGUUUAAUACGUAUUACACAGUAGAUAGAAACGUACAAAACUUUUCUUUCUUUGAUUCGCUCUGAUUCGCCUCAAAAAAAGCAGUAGGUGACGGCAAAAAAUAAAAUACGAAUUAAUCCAUUUCUAAUCCGUCCCAACUCGAUAAGAAACAAGACGACAGGUAAGAAACCUCUCCCGCCUCCAGAUCCGCCCCGUUUGUAUUUCUACUCCAGUCUGAAUUUUUUUAACUCUUUAGUUUGGGAAUUCACCAUGGCCAAAUAAAUUUAGAAAUAUAUUCUCUUCUCCUUACGAACAACCUCAUGCACAUAAUUUUUGUCACCCAAUGGCUAGAAUACCUUCCAAUGCUGAUACCCAGUGCAUACGCACAAAUUAGGUUGCACAUUUUUGCUGUUUCUUCAGCGAUUAAUUAUUUUUUAUCACUCACCAUAGUUACUGCCAGAAACAACUCUUAGGGACCGUUUGGUUAUAUGUAAUUACAAAUGCAGUAUUUUUGAAAAUGUAUGCAGUUAAAAAUACAGUAAUUACAAUUACAUGCAUCCUACUUGGUUGGAUAUAGUAAAAAGCAUAACAACUAUAGAUAAUUUGUUCAGUUGCAUGCAGUUGAGAAAUAAAUUUUAAAAUUUUAUUAUUUUAUACAUAUUAUGGUCAGAUUACCUACAACGUAAAAUAAUAAUAAUAAUAAUAAUUUUUUGUUUAAAAAAUAAUUAGAAAGAUAAGCUUACCUUUUGCUUAAAGUCACUCUUUCUAAUUGCUGCAAUUGGACCUCCACCUGCAAUUUCUACCAUAGCAGUUGAAGUUAAAUACAUCGAACAAAACACUGAAUUUGUAUUUACAUGCAGUUAUAACUGUAAUGCAAUGUUAACUACAUGCAACCAAACGACCCUCUUAACAUAAAAAUGAGUCGAUACUUCUCAGCAAGGUCCAAAUGUUAAAUUGGCCUGCCGGCUAGAUUUUCCCGGUCCAAUAGUUUCAACUUUAGGCCCAAAUCAACUCAUUGGUCCAAUCACAUGAUUCUUCAGUGGCGAUUCCUAUCGCAAUUUUAUAGCAUCAGAGAAGUUAAAAAAAAGUAAAUAUUGGACUAGUUUAUUUAAUUAGGAAUUUGUUUUUAUAAACUUUUUCUUUUGUAGUUAUUAUUUCUCCUAUGUUUGUCGAUGUUGUUUUUCUCAUAUUUCAUACGUAAUGUAUGUGUAAUAUCUAUCAGGGAUCAUGUACUAAUACAUGGCAUGUAACUUGAGCAAUCCACCAUCUAAGAUAGAAUCGAAUUAUAUUAGUGAAAAUCUAGACCUUUGUAUUUUUUACUAAAAUAAAUUGAAUAAAUUUGGAUAUUCUCAUUGCAUUUGUGGCUUGGUUUUGCAAUUUUUUUUUUGUUUGUUUGUUCAAAACUGAAUCGAAUUGAAUUAGUAACACAAACCAAACGGUACCGUUAAUUUAACCGCUACAAUUUGGCUUAAUUGGAGUCCAUAUUACAUUAAAAAUUUGUUAAGCUACUAAAAUUAAGAUACAAAUAUGAUUAGUUUAUAUUUCAAUCUUUAAUAUCUAGAUAAUAGUGAUUAAAGUUUCUUUUAAAUGUCACAUCCUAAUUCCCGGGGAAUCACUCUUUACCGAGGCCCCAACUCGAUAAAUCGGGUAUCUUAAACCUAAUAACCUGUCGGGUCCAAUUCACUGGUCCAAAAUGCUAUAGCCCGGUGUGGGAUUAUUUUUAGCCGGGAGUAUUACAAUUAAACUUUAGGAUUAAUGUAAAUAAAUGAAGUUAUCAAAUUUGUUAAUGUGGUUUAUUCAAUUUUUUUAUUUUAAAUUUGCAUAACUGAUCUGAACUGGGAUGACAUAAAAUUGAAUCCGACAAAUCGAAAUGAACUAAAAUUUGGUUUCUACUUAAAGAUCAAAAUUCCUAAUGAUGAAUAUUAGCUAGCAUCUCUUUCAUUUUUGUUAGAGUUAAUUUCAUACGUAAACAAUUGAAUAGCAAAUAUAUUUCUAUUAAAUUUUAAUUUUUUAUAUUUAUCUCUACAAAGUCUAGUGAUAUUAAUAUUUGCUCAUCUGAUUUGUUACUAUUAAAGCACUAUUUAUUUUUUAACCAAAGAUAAAUAAAAUGAUAUUUUUGUCAUCACAAAUAUGUCCCUCCAAAAGUCCGAAUGGUUAGAAAAAUCCUUCCAAAAAUUUUUAACGAUUAUCUUCUUUCUUUCUGCCACCACAUAGUACAAGAGGACUAAAAAAAUCAAUUUACCUUAUUCACUAAGCAGAAUUAAGUAUUUUAUAUAUGAUUAACUAUAUUUUUCUAAUGGAUCUUAACGGUAUGAAUAUAUUUAAAAAUUUUAAAAUUUUUACAUGAAUAAAUAUAAAAAACUAAAACUAAUUUUUAUAAGAACAUAGGAUAUAUUUACAGAAAUUUUUUUUGUAAUUAAAUGUUUUUGUUAUCAAAUAAGUGCGUGGCAUUUAAUAUGUUUAUCACAUAGCAGGGGCUACAGAGAAAUGUUGAAUUGUAAUAGUGAACACAUGGAACAUUCCAGAACAUGCUUUUUUCACCGCCUCUAUUCCAAAUAAUAAGCCCGUUGCGCAUGCCACGUUACUAAUUUUAUUAGCGCAUUUAUAGGUAGGGUCCAUAGAAUACAAAUAUAAAUAUAAAAAAUUUAGUAUUUGAUAUAUAUUCGCAUUCGAAUUCUCAUGCAAAAAAAAAUAAUAUGAAUAUGAAUAUAAUUUCUAAAAAAUAAUGAAAGCGAAUUUAGUGUUCGACACAUGUAGGAUAUAUAGUAAAGCAAGAGAAAUAUUAAUUUAAUGUUGAUUAUUAAGUGAUAGAAAAUCUUAAUUAGCAUGAGUUAGGAAAUAUUUUUAAUUUCAUAUUUGAUAAAAAUUAUUAAUAGUCAAUUUAUAAGAAUAUAUUAAUUCUUAAUAACCUCACAAUCUAUGACUUUUGUAAGUUUAUAGAAAAAUUAUCAUUUCAAAUAUAAAAUAUACAACAUAAUAUUGGAUCCGGACCGGGUUGGAUUUGGUUAAUAAGCCAAAUUUCAAAAAAAAUUUAUAUAAUUAAAGAUAUCAUAAUAAAAAUAGACAAUUGAUUGUAGGGGAAACUUUAAAUACCCCCGUGGUUUCUCAUUUCUAACUUUAGUACCCUUUGGUUUCAAGUGUAUUAAGUUAGUGCCUUGUUGUUUCGCACUUUCUUACUUUAGUACCCUAUGGUUUCAAGUGUAUCAAGUUAGUACCCUGUGAUUUUAUUUUUGUAUCAAGUUAGUACUCUGUGGUUUCAAUUUUCUCUUUUUAUUAUCCAUUUCGGAAUAUAUAAUUUAACGAAAUAUUAAACCACAAGGUACUAAAGUGAGAAAGCGCGAAACCACAGGGUACUAACUUGAUACACUUGAAACCACAUGGUACUAAAGUGAGAAGGUGAGAAAUCACAGAGUACUAACAUGAUACACUUUAAACCACAAAACAUUAAAAUGAGAAAGUGAGAACUUGAGAAACUACGGGGGGGUAUUUGAAGUUUUCCUUGAUUGUAUAUAUUUAUAUUCGAUUUGGACUUAUAUUUUAAUUUGAACAAAAUAAUUUGUCGCUGACGUGUUGCAUAUUUGCCACCCCAAUGGCCGUCUAAACAAAGUCGGCAGCGAAGCUACAUCGCGCGCCGAAUUUUAUGCUAGCCCAAACUAGCCAGACAUAAAACCAGAGUCGGCGGCGAAGCUACUUCGCACGCUGACUUUUACCUUCAGACGGCGACGCCCUUUACGGCUUUACCCGACGACCGACCUGCCCCUUCUCCGACCUCAUCUCCCCCCUCCCACAAAAUCCCUCACCGAUCCCGAUUAGGGUUUCAUUUUCCUCCCCCAUCGCCUCCUCCUCCUCCUCCCAACGCCAAGCCCCCAUGUCGACGCUCCCCGACGAGGUAUGGCUCCGGAUACUCGAGCUCGGCGCGGCGAGCUCCAUCUUGGGUUACCGUGACCUCUGCCGCGUCGCUAUCGCCUCGCGCCGCCUCAACCGCCUCUCCCAGGAGCCCUCCCUCUGGGGCGCCCUCCUCGCCCUCGACUUCCCCUUCUCGGGUUCCGAAACCCCCUCCAAAUCACUCUACAAGAUCAAGUACGAGAUCGUUCCCUUUCUUCUGUUCUGAAUCCGAUCUCUUGAGCGGUGGGUGUGGAACUUAGGGUUUGGGGAGGUUUUUGGUAGGUUUGAGAAGGACAAGGCGCGGAGGAUCGCCAUGCGGAGGAUGGCAGUUAUCGGAGCGGAGGAACGGGUGUUGCUGACCAAGAAGAAGUUGGCGGAUUUGGAGCUUUCGAUGGCGAGGGAGGGCGAGAGGAUGAAGGCGACAUUGGAGGAGUUGGAGAAUUUGGAGAGGGUCAGGUAUUAGUGAAAUUUACCUAUUUGAAGUGGUUAUUAAUGAAAAGAAAAAAAAAAAAAAAGAAAGAUGAUUUUGAAUGGCCAUUUGAAGUUUCAGCUUGUUUGCUAUUAUCAGUGUUUGAAUUUGAUCAUGUUUUGUAUAUUUGGUAUUGAAAAAUGAUUGCUAUGAUUUGUGAAAUGUGUGAUAAUAUUAGUCUACUUGAAAUGGUUUAAUUAUGCAUAUGCAGGUAAAAAGCACUUUUUGUUAGCUGAAGAAGCAUGUACAAAGGCUUUUCUUAAUUUUUUUUUUGCUUUUAAAGUAUGAUUUAGCAUUGUCCUGCAAAUGGGUUUCCAACAAAUUGCAUGUUGUGCAUAUAUAUCUUCCUAGAAGAUCUUAUGAUGGGCUUAAUGAUGCUAAAAGGGGAAAAAAAAAAAAAUAUAAAACCCUCUAAGGUGUCAGUAGAAGCUUUUCUGUUGUUCAGAAGUAGAAGCAUAUUUCAACUUACCUCCCUGUAAGAUUUUUGUAAGUGGCCACGAUCUCUUGGAAAAUUUCAUUAAUCACGGAAAUUUCUUCUUUUUUUUUAGUAAUUUGAUAUUGAUUGUUUGAUAUAAGCCGUGAAGUGUUUGUUGUAAUUGAUCCUCUUGUUUUUAAUGCCUGUUAAGUCAUCGAUCAUGUUUCACGUUGCCCACGCUGCUUAGAUCAAAUUUUGAUGAUGAGAAGACUGUUGGGAGAUAUAGUUCUGAUACCAAGCUAAUGCGAUCUCACUGUCCAGAUGUAACAAUGUCCUCAAUUUGGUUGUAUCAAACUAGAUUUGGAUUCAAUUUUUGCUCGAAUUUUCUAAAGAGAAUUGCUAUAUGGAAUUGGUUUCCAGCAGACACUUAGUGUAAAACUUGAUUAAAAUCUGCUAGAGGUGCUUUGGCAUGUUUCUCUAAAUUUAGUCAGAAGUCAGAAUUUUGCAAAGAAAACUCCCGAGAUUGGUAAAUAUGUCUUUGAUUUCCUUUUUGGAGUUGUUUUACCUCUAUAACUAUUGAUGUUCUCAAGAUUCGGUCAUAAUCAACAUAUUGCCUUAAGAAUUUAAUUGAUACUUAGUUUCUGUUUGUCCUCAUUUUGCACUAAAUGAUUUCUUUAGGAGCGCAUCUGUGGCAUUAAAUGUAUGGCAACCGGAAGUUGUUCGUGGGCGUCAAAAGCAGAUAGUUGAGCAAUGCACAGUGCCUGUUGAGUCUCGUCUUAAUGCUCUUAGAAUGGAGGCUAGAGUUUGUAAGAAACAAAUCGAAACUUUUAAAAAGGCCUAUGUAUGUCUCUUCAUUUUCAUGUUAUAAUAUAUAUAUAUACACCUUGGAAAGAUGUGGACAAGGCUGUGUUACUAUCUUGCUUUCAUUGACACUGACAGCACAACGAGAAGCUCAAGUUGAGUGAGUACGAGGAGAAACUGAGAUCAUUGAAGUAUCACCCGCUUAGUAGUGAUCAGUUGAUUGGAACCGUUGACAGUUUGAAUCCAAAAAGGCAGAAGUUGAAGCACAGUCACAGUAAGCAUUUCUCGAGCUUAAAUGUCUAUGCUCUUCUUUGCAUGUCACCUCACCCCCUGCAUGUUUAACCUUUUGGUUUCGAUCUCUUUUUCUUUGUAAAUACUCAUUGACUUUACUGCAGGUGAGAAAAGUUACUAAUUAUUGACGAAUUUUAGCGAACGCUGACAUUUUGGUUGAGUGUUCCUCUGGAAUGCAUAAUGUGUCUUGCAUUAUCUUAUCAUUCCUUUUCUUUGGAUGGUUAUGCUCGCGCUUGACUACUUGAAGAAGUCGAGGUCGUGGAUCAUAUGCCAAUUGUAAUGGGCUCUUUUGCAUGUUGUAAAUACAUAUGAAUAGUUUUACAUAAUUUAUAUCAUACAAGCUGAGCACUAGUUAAGGUGUCAGCAAGAAAUUAGAUGCUCAAAUUUUGUGUUAGAUUCCAUAAUUGAUGGUUGUUGAUAAUCUUUGCAUCAAGUUUGCUUCUUGGUUAUUUUGAAUUGGUGGGUUUUUUGCCAACCAUAUUAUCUAAUGCCUGGAUAUAUUUGCGAUUGGAUGUAUUAAUCACCGUAGAUGGGUGGCUGAUUCUCCUUAUAUGUACUAUUUCUCUGUGCACGGAUUUGCAGUGAAUGCAUCCAUCGUUCUUAUAUGCUACUGAUUUGUUGAUGUAUAUUUUGUGGAGACUUUUUACUCAUUUAUACACACAAUUUUAAUUUGUUUGGUACAAAGCUUACCAACACAUACUAUCUAGUUUGGUGGUUUUGUUGUCUAUCAUGCGUCUAAUGAUCUGAUGCUGUCCAUCUUUUUAAGGUCAUUGUUGGAGUGUUGCUGUGUUUGUCGGCACAUUUUUAUUACUAGAUAAAUAAUGUUGAAAAAUUAUGAUAUUUGAUUUCUGCAAAAUUCAAUUAGUUUAGAUAAUGGUGUGAUACCCAAGAAUAACAACUGAGAGCUUUCAUGUAGUAUAUAUUGUUGAUGUCAAAUCAUGCUCAACACCUGAUUACUGUAGACGUAAUUGCACUUUUGCUCCUCAAACUAUGAGGUGCUUGAUAUUUUAGUACUUAAACUUUGAUUAAUUAUAAUUUUUGACAUAAACUUUCUAAAAAAGUUUUGCAAACCGAUUUAGCUGACUAAAUAUUGACAAAUUAUUAAUAUGGAAGUGAUAUAGCAUGGUAAUUAUUGUAUAUUAAUAAUUUGUUGACAUCUAGCUAACUAAAUUAUGCUGUGGAACUCGAUUGUGAUAAUUUAUUAAGUCAGAAAUUGUAACAAAUUAAAGUUUGGAGAUUAAAGUGUCGCGCCCCUCCUAGUUUGAAAAUCAAAAGUGUGAUUUACCUUUACUACAAUGUCUUGCAAAUAAUUAUGCACCAAAUAAGAAUGUUUAGUCAUCCAAACUGGUUUCUAGCAGAGCAUUCUAAGCUGAAAGGUGGCCAACUAAAAUGGACAACCUUUGCAAUCAAGGUUCUGGCUCGGGAUUCAUAUGGGUAAGAUUUAAUUUGGGUUAAAUUUUAGAAGCGUUUUUAUAGGAUUGGUCCAAUAGCUGGAAGGACCGGCAAUCCAGCUUGUGUUUGGCUCGAAAUGUGCUCGAGAUCAAUCGUUUUUUAAAUAAACGAGUAGAGCACGAGUUGGGACUAGCUCUUUUGUGUUCGGCUUGAUAUAUAUAGAUUUUAGGUCAAGUCAAAUGUAAAAAAGAUUUAUAUUACAAUAUUUUACUAUUUGGAUCUUAGGCUAAUCUAAAUAUAAAGAGAUCUAUAUUUUAUAAAUUUUAAUUAUGGGAUUAAAAUUUUAAUUUUUUAAUUUUCUUUCAACUUUUUACUAGUAGCAGAAGUGAUAAUCUUAACUUGUUAUUCGUAAGUCAGCUCGAGCUUGGUUUUUUAACAUGGGUCCCUAGCUCGCUCGUUUUCGGCUUUUUGACAGCCCUAAAUAGCCCUUGCUAAAAUUGUUGAUGGAUUGGUCCAAUGUAAAUCCGAGUGGUUCACAGUAACUAUAAUUAUAAACUUAGUUCAAAUCACCCGUGGGAUAUGGAAAUAUAAAGUUAGGGAUAUCAUAAAUUUUAACCCUUUCCACAUAACUAGUGUUUUAAAUAGCGAUCGCUAAAUUGUAUAUGCUAUUGCUAUAUCAUAACCUCUAAAGCGAAAUUUAGCUGAUUGGGUUCAAAACGGCCACUUUAGCGGUGUAGGGCCUACUAAAACGGUUGUUGUAAAGCAGUCGAAAAGUGGGCACUAUGAGCCAAAAACUUAAAAAAGUGCAAACUAGUUAAAACAUCAAAUCGGAUCAGGUUCUCAAGUAAAUGACCAAAAUACGUCUAGUGAAGGAGAAGAAGAAUGCUUUCCUGAUGAAUAAGAUUUUAAUUAUAUACCCAAGAUAUCAUUUUUUGAUAUUUAUUUACAAAUUGUUUGAAUUAUUAAUGGAUUAUAGCUUUUUGAGUUUUAUAUCUUUUCGGUUUGCUAAAUCGUAAUAUUUUAAAGUCAAUUUUAAUAGAUAAUGAUAUUAAAUAUGUAUAGGUUUGCAAUAUUGAAAAAAAAAAAUAGUUAUUUUUUCUUUAAAAUUUUAUUUUUUUAAAAAAUUAAAUAUAUAUUUUUUAAAGAAAAUUAUAUAUAUUUUUAAAGAACAUGAAUAUAAAUAUAAACGUAAUAAGUUUGCUUUUAUGAAACCCGUUAUGGGUUCAUAGCACAUGCUAUGCACCCGCUAUCUGUUUUUCGUUACAAAAUUCUCCAAAUGCUAUGUGCCAGUUAUCCGCUAUUUACAAUGUUACAUAUAACAAAAUAGAGCAUGUAGCUAUGGUCCAUUACAACAACUAUUUAAUGCCACAGCAAAUCAACUAAUUAAUGCAUCUAUUUUUAACAUUUUAUCCCUUUUUUGUGGCGGAUAUUGGUGGAUAACAGGUCCCAUUAAUCUGCAAUCCUCAUCCGAAAUAGGGUUGUUUUCUGAGUUUUUGCCAAAGAGAAGAAAAAUACAAAAUGGAUAAUUUUUAAGGAUUUGGAUCAUAUACUAUAUAUGUGGUUGUAUAAAGAAAUAACCAUCCAAGCUAGCUUCAAAUUGUGACUAGAAAUCUAUAUUAGAUUUAUAAGGUAAAUUUGGCAAUUAGGUUUAGAUUUGCUAUUCCCUAUGUUUUUAAUCAACUUAAAUUCACUAGUGGCCACCCCUAAUUUGAAAAUCCCCAUCAACUUAGAAUGAAAUUUAAUGUAGAGUUUUUAGGAUCACUUGUAGAAUAGGUCUUGAAAUAUUGGAAUGAAUGAAUAAUCUUAUCCAGCAUAUUUCUUUUGUCUAUUUAAUGCGAAUGUAAUAAUAAGUAAUAGACAUGGAACUAGACUAUUAUACUAUUAAUGGCACCGGAUCAUUUGCAGUAUUAGAUUUUCAGCCUUUGGAUGAAGAAAUGUGCGGUUAGAAUGAUAGUGAUCCCCUAGGGUUGAGUAGGUUGUUGGUUGAAUAAUAUGAUCUAACAGAUAAAAGUGGUCAAAGGGUAAGAUCUAAUGGCAAAACACUUAAUAACACCAAGCGAAAUUGAUGAAGAGUAUGCUUAGAUUAGAUAUCUAUAAAUAUAUUAUAUUCUGCCUCUAAAUUAUUUUUCAAAAUAAAAAAAAUCGUUCAGCACAUUAUGAGGACUAAACUAAAAGCGAGAAAGUACUCUGCAUUUAUAUAAGAAAAUUCUCAUGGCACAUAUACCAUAUAAUACUUGAUAACUUAUUCUGAUAUCCAAAUAAGCAUUUAUAUAAGAAAAUUCUCAUGGCGCAUAAACCAUAUAAUACUUGAUAACUUAUUCUGAUAUCCAAACAAGUUCUAGAAACCGUUCAUUCAGGCAUUACUAAUAUAUAAAAUUCGGGUAAUCCAAAAAGAUUCUUGCCAAAAUCUUUUCAGGUAUUUGCUAAUCUAUGGUUUAGAUUUAACAAAUCCUUACAUGUACUUGUCUUAUAAAGGGACACUCUAUUAUUGUCCCUCAUCCUAUGAGCUAGUGGUAUCCAUUAGAUUUUUGGUAUCAAAUUCAAUUUACAUCCAAAUUUUAUAUCUUCUAUUAUCAAAACAAGAUAUUGGGGGGUGUUUGGCCCUACUGCUGAAAAGUGAUUUUGAGUCCAAAAAUGAUUUUGGGCUCACAAGAGUGUUUGCAACAAGUGCUCAAAAAUUUGAUUCUACUUUUCAGAAUCAGAAAACUGAUUUUGAAGGUCCCAGAAUCAGAAGUAAGAAAAAAAAAAACUACUUCUUAAAAUCUGAUUCUGAUUUUGAACUCAAAUUUCAAAUUUUUAUUUUAAUUUUAGAUUCAAAGUUUAAAUUUAAAUUUAAUUCUAAUUUUUAGAUUUUAAAUUCAUAUUUGAAUUUUUAAAUUUCAACUUUUCGAAUUUAAAUUUUAAAUUUUAAAUUUUAAAUUUUAAAUUUUAAUUUCAAAUCUCAAAUUUUAAAUUUUAAAAUUCAAAUUUAAGAUAAAAUUUAAAAUUUGACAUUUUAGAUUUUAAAAUUUAAAAAUACAAGUUUUAAUCUUCAAAUUAUAAAUUUCAAAAUGUUAAAAUUAAAAUUUAAAAUUUUUAAAAAUCAAAUUCUAAAUUUUUAAAAUUUAAAAUUUAAAACUAUAAAAUUAAAAUUUAAAAUUUAAAUUUAAAUUUAAAAAUUCAAAUUUUAAAUUUCAAAAUUUUAAAUUUUAAAUUUACUUUUUAAAUUAAAAUAUCAAAUUUAAAAUUUUGUACAAAUUUGAAAUUUAAAAUUUUAAUUUUAAUUCAACUUUAAAUUUUAAUUUUAAAUUAUUUAGAUAAAAUUUAGCUAAAAUAUUAAUAUGUGCCAACAUCAAAAUUUUUUUACCAAACAGCCUUACAAAAUUACUUCCGAAAAAUCAUUUUUAUUUAAACUCAACCAAACGCUCUGCAGUUUUUAUCCAAAGUAAAAUUUUCAAACCAAAAUAAAUUCUGUAAAAAUUACUUUUCCAGAAUCUAGGUCAAACAUGCCCCAUUAAAAGGCAAAGGAACAAUUUGAAAACCUCAAAUUUUGCUCAAUUUAUCAACUUUGACCUGUGCAAUUCCUCUAGUGGCUCUCAUCUUAACAAAUUGACACUAUUUUAGAGCUUAGGUUAUUUAAGAAUUUCAAUACAAGCUUUGAGAAAUUGAAUUAUCUUAGGAUAUAUAUAUAUUUUUUAAAUUACUAUGCCUUAGGGGAAAAAAAAGGAACUAACUUUCGAACCAAUCAACUCUAUUGCUCUAAUAUUCCUCGCUUCAUGCAAGGCUACUUUUGCAUGGAGACAUUUUCAUCGUUUAUAUUUAACACUUUCUCUACUAUAUUCCAACCAAAUAACUUGGAUCUUUUGUUCUGAUACGACGUGAAAAUUUCUCUCUGAUGUAAGCUAUGAAAAGAUAAAAUUUUAAUAACUUAAUAAUUUUCACCAACUUUUAUAAGAUUUAAUGUAUAAGGGAAAUAUCAUAUAGAUCCAAGAAAUGAGGAAGAUUCUUAUUUUUUACAAAAGUUGGAAGAUCCCAAAUAAAUGACUACUUAGAGAUGUAAAACGGGCCAGGCGGCACGUAGGCCACCCGGCCCGGCAUGGCCUCGGGCCGGGCCACAUCACGGCACGGGUACUGUAGCAUCCGUGCCGGGCCGGGCCGGGCCGGCCCGAAGCUCUAGGCCGUGCUGGGCCACUAUUUUGGAGCCCAAAGGCCCGGCACGGCAUGGGCCGAAUCGCGGCCUGGGCGUACGUGCGCCGAGUUAAGGCUGGCGGCCCGGCCACGCCACGACCUGCUUGGCCUUUGGCCGUGCGCAGCCUUGGUCCCCAUCGCCCCCAAGCAUUGCCUUGGCAGGGGUCUGAGCUCCUGGCGGAGGAGAGCUCGGUCCUCCUCCCAGGAUCUCUCCUCCACAGGUCUGCUGAGAGAGUCUUUGACGUCCAAUGACCAAAGACUUUUGCGUCCAUUGGCAAAAGUCUUAUAACAUUUUAGUUUUUUUUAUUUUUUUAAUAGAAGUUUAAUACAGAAUUAAUUAUUUUUUUAAAAAAAUUAAAUAUUUCUAUUUAGUAUAAUUAUUUUAUUAAUUUUUUUAAUAUUUAAUCAUAAAUAUUAAUUUAAAUAAAUAUUUAUGUUUUAUAUUUUAAAAUUUCAUACUAAAUUUUUUAAAUUUCUUAAAAAAAUAAAACUUUAAUAAGCCGGCCGACAGACAGCCCAGCCCGCACGGCUCCGUUCCUUACCGGCCAAAGUGCCGCUGCGGGCAGAGGAUAGAAAACAUUUGGGCCCGACACGGCCCGCCCGAUAAUUAAAUCCCGGCAGGCGCCCUGCAGGAACCCUAGCCCGAUUUUGGCCAAAAAAUGUGGGCCGUGCCGGCCCGCACGUCCCACAAUUACAACCCCAUGAACUACUUAGAUAUAUUAGUGUUUAUUUAUUUUUUUUCUAUCACUUACUUAUCUAAGAGUUGCCACUAUUGUCUGUAGAUCUACACAAGAGAAAAAAAAAAUGAUUUGUUUUAGAACCUAAUGCAAUAUUUAAUUGGGAUGAAUUUACCAAUUUAUAACAUGAGAUAAGAGUCACCGACCGUCCCUAAGCAAUGGCAAAGGAUUAUGAUUUUUACAACCGUCCCAAGUUCAACACUAAGUCUUAUACACUUUUUAGCUAAGUUUAUUUCGCAUAAAUGAAAUAACAAGCAGUAGCGUUCCUACCAAUCUCUCUUGCAAAAAAAAAAAAAAAAAGAGUUUCAGCUUCCACAUGAACUUAAAUUUAGGCUAAUGUAGUAAUGCUUCUAACCUCAUUUCAACCGUAUAGUUAGAUACUUUUACAAGCGUCGUUUGUUAGACAUGUAGUUACAAUCAGUUAGUGGAGAUGUAUGCAGUUGGAAUACUAACAGUUGUGUAACUACGUGCAGUCUGUUUGUUUCAGUAGAGUAGGGAACACGUUGCAACUAUAAUUAAUUUGUCUUGGUUGAAUGUAGUUGAGAAAUAAUUUUAAAAUUAUCGACUUUUAUAUUAUUAUGAUGGGGUGUGAAUGAAUACCUCCAAUAUAACAAAAUUAUUUUUGUUUAAAAGUAAUUUAAGGAGGUAAGAUUACAUUUGUUUAAAGUUGUGCUCUUCACUGCUGCCGAAAUGAAUUACGGCAUAUUAAGCGUAGUUCAACUGCCUGCUGAGUUAGCCUCCUUCUGCAGUUCUCUAGCUGCCAACAGUAAGAUAAACUAUAUUAAACGAGAAAUAUUCGGUACUUUUAAAAAAAAAUAAAAAUGAAUCUUAACCGUUAUAAUAGAGUAUAUAUAAUGUAACUUUAAUACUUAGCAGGUAAAAGAAUUAUUUAUUCAAGCGUUAGUUUGUAAUUAAUAAUACAAUAUUUUAAAAGAAACUUUUUAAUUGAUGUCCUAAAUUUUAUGCAUUAAUUGCACUAAUUCUAGACAAAUUAAUUAUUAACCCAAUUAUGCAAUUAUUAUCCAUUAAUUAGAAUUUACUUAAUGUUUUAGGUUCUCCAAUUAUCAUUAAUUCUUAAAUCGUAUAGAAUUUAGACAGAAAUAGUUUUAUUUAUAAAGAGCGAUGAAUUAAUUUAAAAAUUAAAUACUUAAAAUUAAAAGUGAAAUUGAAUUAGAGAGAAUUUCAUAAUUACUAUUUUUAAAACUAAAUUCUACCAGAAUUUAAGAAUACAAGUUAUCGCACAGUUUCCAAACGUAAUGCAUAAAAACUUUAGAGAGUAAGAUUUUACAACUAGAUUUCUCUAAUGAAUUUCAUAUUACUAUUGAAAUUUUAAAUCAGAGAUUUUAAAAACUAGAUUGAAACGUUGAUUUAUCUCUGAUCAGACUAUUGACCUCUUCUAUCAAGUAUUGAUUUAACCUAUUGAACCGAAACCGGUAAAGUAUAAUAAACGAUUUCUAAACAGAAUGAUAUUUAACUUAGAACGCUAAUAAAUAUUUUAAAUAUACGUUUUAAACAUAUAAUUAAAAGAUUAGAAUUAUUGUGAGAUAAAUAAAAUGUUAUGGAUAUUGAAUUCGAAUCUCACUAACAAUCACAAACUUAUUUCCGAACUCACAAUUUCAAAAAUCCAUAUCCAAAUUCAAAACUGACCAAUUUUUCGAAACCCAAAACCAAACCUAAACCAGAAGACUAGAAUUCAAACAAUUAUUUCUGUUUACCAUAUUUCAAAGUAUUUAUAUGAAACUUAAAUUUUUAAAAUAUAAAUUUGAAUAUAAUAUUAAAUUUUAAAUUUAAAAGUGAAAUUUAAAUUAGAGGAAUUUCAUAUUACUAUUUAAAGUUUAAAUUCAAUGAUCAUAUUGUCAAAUCAUUUGAAAUUUUUCUUAUAUGAAAUGCUAAAUUAUGAAAGGAAAGAUAGAGAGAGAAAAAGGAAACAAAGAAAAAAUAAAAAUUUUGAAAAUAUAGUAGAUGUAAAAUGACUAAAUUGCCUAUGUAUUAAAAGACAAAAAUAUUCUUUUUUGAGAUACCUGGUAACCGGUACCUCUCCCAAAGUAACCUGCUAUUGCAGGUCACAAUUUUAAAAAAACUAAAUCUGAGCCGUUGAAUACGCGUGAAUGAACGGUAACAAAAAAAAAAAAAAGUAUAGAAGCUUUACUCAUAUUAAACCAAACACUAAAUUUGCAUUUGCAAUGCAGUUACAACUGUAGUGUAAUUGCAAUUAUAUGCAACCAAACGGUCCCUUAGAGGAUUUUAAGGAUAUAAGAGCCUAAAGACGAUUUCAAUUAUAUGAUACAUAACCUCAGUUUAAGGGCUAUUUAGUUGAAUGAUAACCAGUACAAUAGUGUUGCAACUAGAAAUGUCCAAAAUAUUCAAUAAUCCAUACUGAUCUAGACUCGAUUAAAAGUAGGUAGCAUAGGAGUGAAAAAAAUUGUCAAUUAAAGUUUCGAGUAGGGGUUUAGAUAUCUUAUAUUCAUAUCUGAUCCGGAUUAGAUCCUAUAGUAGGCAGGGUCCGGAAUAAUUUUUAUAUCCUAACCCAGUAAUCUUGAAUAGUUUUUAUAUCGGACCCAGUAAAAUAUCCAACCGUAAAAAGUUAAAGCAAAGGAAAAAAAAAAUUAAAAAAAAAUUAUGAAAAUUGAAAAACUUAUACUUAUUUUCUCACUAUAAUAUUUUGGACUUAUUGUGUAUGAUCUACAUUAUAGAAGGCGCAUUUGUUCUAGACAUAUGGUGCAUGUUAUGUCACUACUUGUAUAUAUAUAUUAUGUAAUUAUGUAAUAUGUGUUCUGAGUUGUUAAUAUAAUUUUAACUAUUAUGACAUUGAACAUUUUAGAGUGGUGGUUGCAUGUGUUUAAGAGUAAUUAAUACAUGUGUAGGAAUUAAAAAAUUUUGUAUUUUUAUUUUGAACUUAUCACAUAAUAAAUAUUUAUAUUUUAUGUCAUGAUUACACAGUAGCAUACAAAUAGUCACUAUUCAAAUUCGCUUAAAUAAAUUCGAUAAGUACAUUAGUGACUUAAUUAUUCGGAUCUGAACUCGUUGCGAAGUUGUAUCGAUAGAAUAUAUAUAUAUAUAUAUAUAUAUAUAUAUAUAUAUUUAUAUUUAUUUUUUAGAGUAUGGAUACAGCAUAAUAACUAUUCUGAUCCGACAUGGAUUUAUGAAUAUCUCUAGCUAAUUCCAUAGAAAAAUUUAUGCAAAUGCCACAUCCACCGUUCACUAUAGCCCAUGCUUUAAAAUGGACGGUGGAGAAAUAAACAAAAUUAUUUAUCCAGUUCCGAACGGGAAAACAGUACGGCCCCGACCAAUCCCAUGGAUUCGCGCCACGAGAGACGGGUUGACACCGCUCCACGUCGCCAUCAAAAUAUGACGAAAAUACCCCUAUCUCUGCUACACUACAAAAGCCCAUCCAACGUUUAAGCCGUAAAACACUGAGGGGCUUUUUCGUCCUUUGGCUCAAAAUAUUACCACGUUACCGAAUAUACCCUUUCGACUCUACGAAACGAGCCGCGAGACAUAAGAGUAUAAUAGUCAUUUCACCACCGAUCUCAGUGUGCGUGCUCAUAAAUUCCCCUGUAGUUCGCACCGAAAUCAACGUUCUCUCUCCCCCGUCGAUCGCUUCGUCACGGAUUGGACGGCUGAGAUCGACCGAGAUCUCCGAUCCGUCCCUUCGAAGGAAACCAACGGUAGAGAUCUCGUCCAAGUAAGUUGAUACACGAUCCUUUUUCCAUUUUCUUUUCUUUUUUUUUUUAAUUUAUAUUUGUAUUUGUUUUCAUUAAAUACUAAAAUUUUGGUUGAGUUUUGAGGAAGCGUUACACUUCGAAUGAGCUAAAGAGUUUCGCAAAUAGAGAUUUUUUUUUUUUUUUGUUAUAAUUUUAUCUGUGUCAUUUUAGUUUUCUUAUAAUGUAAAGAAAUUAUGUCAAUUCUUAUUAGAAUUCGAAUUUGGAUUUGGAUUCGAAUUUGAAUUUAUUUUGAGCCAUACAGAAGAGUUUGAAUCAUGUUUUACAUAAUAUAUUCUCUUCUAACUCGGUUGGAAAAUUUUAAUCCAUUCCGACUCUCAUCGGUAAACUUGCUGGAAAAUUGAAAACUUAAUUAUUUGAACAUGAAAAUACGUAAAUCAAGUAGCACGGGAACAAUAUGAUCUUAAAACACCUAAGUGAUACAGAUGAAAUCUCAAAAUAGCGAUGUUGAAUAUGCAAUAUAAAAUUUAGAUUUUUUUUAAAAGAAAUAUAGUUUGCAUACUAAGAUUAAGAAACUUCUAGGACUUGUUUAGUUCACCUAUUUUAGACUAUGAAAUUAAAAUGAUCAUUGAUUUCGAUAAUUGUUAUUUGUUUUAUAGGAAUCAGAUUUCGAUUUCUAUUUCGGCCACUCUGGAAUGGAAACGAUCCACUUUAUUCAUGCCUCAAUCCGACUUUUAAUUUUUAAAUUGGUCAAAUCUAAAACAGAUACAUUUCUCUUCUCCCGUCGUCAGUCUCAUCUUUCUCAAUCAGAAUCCCCUCUUAAAGUUUUAAAUGUCCAUUCUAAUUUUCAUUCCAGUAAUAAACUCGUUAAUUUUAGAUAAUCCAUCAUUUUAUUUUUCAUUUCUAUUUCAAUCAUAAAUCAAAUAUGCCCUUAAAAUAAUUAGUUAGGAAAAUGAGCUUAAAAAAACAUUGAAUCUUAUAAUUAGCGUGUUUUGUUCUUGUUCUUGUUGUAUUAGCAUUCAAUGGGACCCUUAAUGCUUAAUUUAGUGGCUCUAAUUAAGCCAAUCAAUUCAAUUGUUGUCAUGGUGCUUUCUUUUUUAGAUAUUAUAGUUUUAACUGCAUACAAAUUCAAAUAUAGCGUUUAGAUCUAUGCAUUUUUAUUCCACUAUUUCAAUUAGAGCUACAUUUGGAUUGUGAGAGGUUCCAAUUUUGCGGAAAAAAAAAUCAAAAUCCAAUGUUGGAACUAGCAAAUAAAAACGACAUAACUAUAACAGCUGCAGGGGCACAGAAUUAAACGAAAUAAGUAUUUUCAGCUGUAUGUUUCUUCUAGCUACACUGCAUUUAUAAUUAACAUUGAUGAGAGGUUUUUAAAAAGGAAGAAACAAUAAGUACGGGAAGUGGCGGCGGACAGAAAUGUGCGGCAUUGAAUUGCAAAUGACAAAAUUGAAUCUAAAACAUCUCGAAACUAUCGGAGCUUAGGAUUAGUUCUGAAACUGUUAUGCUCGUCUAAUUGUUCUAUUAGAAAAUAGUUCAGAAAUAAUCUGAACAGAAUUGAAAAUUCAAAUUCUUGGUCACAUUCUAAAAUUAUUACAUUUUGAUAGAAAAUAACAAUUGUCUUAAUAUACUACUGGAUGGAAAAGUAGAAACUCAAUUUGAGCCAGUAGAAAUGAAUGAUGAUUAAAAUUUCUAAAAUGAUGAAGUAUGUGUAAAACUCGGACCGGGCCCAGCCCGAAACCAAAAUUUUGACCCGGCCCGUUAUUUGCCAAACCUACCUGCUUAUGCAAUUGUUGUUUUGGAUGUAUACUUAGGUUUUGUUUGGUAUUGCGGUAGCUAAAAACAUCUGCUUGUUUAUUUGAAAAUGCCUAAAAGUUAAAAAGCGAUUUUAAUAGUUCCUCCUCCAAUGUUAUAAACUGGUGGUAGGAAUCGCGGUCGAAACCGUAAAGAGAGGGGAAGAGGGGAUUAUAUUAAUUGACGAAAUAAUUGGCAAUUAAUUGUUGCUUUUUGGCCUACUAUUUUACACAAGAAGCUAUUUCACAAAACUUGCUUCCUCCACAAACUGAUUUUUAUUUCUGUUGCUAGACUCCGUACGUCUCAUUUUAAGAUCCUUCUGAACUAGUCAAAAAUAUAUAUACUUUUUUUCCCGAAAAGCUAGAGGAUUGAAAAGCCUCAGCGCAAAACAGAUUGGCAGAAGAUCAAAUCGCUGACCUCUUAGUUGACAAAUAAGAGUACCAACCAACUACGCUAAAUAGUGAUCGGUAGUGCAAAAUCAUAUGCUGCUGGUCCAUACUGACAAUUCAUCUCUUUAUGAAUCAUUAUGGCUAUCCCCACUUGAACACUUAAUAUCAUCAAUUAUGUUGUCCUCUACAUUGCAUCUGAACAGUGAACACAUCCUAAAUAUCUGAGGGUAAUGGAUGUGUAGGUACAUCUAUAUAUUAGGGUCUACUAUAAUUUGUAGUUUAGGUUAUAAAAAAGCUCAAAUUUACAUCUCUUACUUAUGUCAUGUCACUCAUAAGCAAUAAACACUAUUUUGAAAGCUCAAAUUAAAAGAAAGAGGAGAACCGAGUCGUUUAAAACGUACAGACGCAAUGCAUAUUUGAAUUCUAAAAAGUAAUUCAAAAUUUGUAACUUGCUUUUAUAAAUUGUAUUAUAGUUGUGCUUUAGAAGGAGCCUUUUAUAAUUCGCCACCUCGAAGCUCUCAUUUUACAUUGUUUUGAGAUGGUGAAAGAUUAUUAAAAUAUUAAGUGGCGUUUAAGCAAGAUUUUAUAUCUCCAAAGAAGGAUUAAGCUUCUCUAGAAAUUGGAUGAGGCACUCUUAAUUGUAGGGAUUUUGUCAAAGAUUAGUCUAAACCAACAUUAGCUUUUACACGCAAAAAUAUAAGAAAAAAAAAAGGAAAAUUACCAACAUUUGCCACCAUUAGGGGUAGGAAUGCAGACGGGGCGGAUCCGGGUGCGGAAGGAGUUUCUCACCUCGUGCUCCAUUUCUUAUCAGAUCGGGACAGAUUCGAACCGGACUAUUUUUAGUUUUAUUUUUGACCCCUACUGAUCGCUUCAUUUCAAUCAGAUUAGUGCGAGAAUGAAUUUUUCGCAAACUUUUCAUAAAUCAUAUUAGACUAAAUGAAGAAAAAGGUCUUAUGCCUCCCGCUCCAUUUAUUUGGCGUGUCGAGACGGAUUCAGGAACGGAUUACAUAAUUCUAUAUAUUUUUUUAUUUUCACUUAUCGUCCGUCCUAUUCAAAAUUGAUCGGAAUGAGAGCUCCACCAACCCGGAUCCAUUUGCAUCUCUACCUAAUUAGAUGUAUCCAUCAAGUUGACAAGAAAAAAAAAAAAAAAAGAAUGUUUCCAUAUCCCUUCUCUAAUUAAUGGUGAAAAUGUAUGGAGCCCCCUAAGCUAUGGACCAUUUUGAAUAGGCCCCUCUGCUUUACUUUUUUGUCCUGUCGUUGUCGAAUUUAAUAGCUCUGUUAGUUCUUAGCUCUUAAUUGUUUCUGUUUCUUUUGACGAAAAUUAAUUAAUAUAUAAAUUUGAUUAAACCACUGAGAUAUUUAUUUUCAUUAAGAGGGCCUUUGGUUCGGCGUAAAAUAAAUCAAAAAAUUAUUUUCGACACGAAAAAUACUUUUUCGUUUGUUUGAUUUGAUGUAAAAGUAUUUUUACAGAUAUGAAAAAAUUAAAAUUUUUGUUUUUCAUUGUCUUUUUGACGAAAACCGAAAAUUCAAAACUAGCGAACCAAAUAAAUGUAUUUUUUUUUUUCAAUCAAAUAAAUGUUGAUGAAAAACUUUUUUUUUUUCCUACAAACUAAAUACUAUAAAACGUAGAACUUUUUUUUUCACUAAAAAUUCUUUUUUAUGAUUUUACGUUGAACCAAACGGAUCCUAAUUGAAGUCACUAAAUUCAGAAAACGUAAAAGCUGAGUAUCAAUUCUAAAGAAAAAAAAAAAAAUUUGAGGGACCAUUUCACAAACGACUGUAGUUGAGGGUGUCACCAUAAAUUUAUAUUUAAUUAUAUGUAAAAUGAUAUAACAAUGAUGGCUAAUUAUAUUUAGAGAAUAAUGCAAAGUUUAAGUAAAGAAACAUCUAAAUACUAUAUUAAAUAUUUUUAUAUUCUAUCACAUAAAGAAACAUUAAAAAAAUAAACUGAUAAAUUUAAUUCGCAUAUGAUAUUAUGUUAAUAUAUAUAUAUAUAUAUAUCAUAAAUGGCCAUAUUGUCAACUUUUAUAAGCUUGUUCGAAUUAAAAGAGAGUUAAAUAGUAAUUAAAUUAAUGAAAUAACAAUUUUACCCUCAACUAUCCAUUGUAAGGUAAAAAUAUUAAUACAAUUUAUUUUUUAUAUUAUUUUAUUUAAGAACUAGUUUGCAAUUUUAUAUCUUAUAGCAUAAUUUUAAAAAAAAAAAUUUCUUAUCAAGUGUGUGNAAAAAAAGAGUUCAUGCUUCCACAUGAACUUAAAUUUAGGGCUAAUGAGUAAUGACUCUAACCUCAUUUCAACCUAUAGUUAGAUACUUUUACAGGUCGUUUGGUUAGAUGUAGUUACAAAUUCAGUGUAGUUGGAGAUGUAUGCAGUUGGAAAUACAACAGUUGUAACUACGUGCAUCUUGUUUGGUUCGAUGUAGUAGGAAACGUUGCAACUAUAAAUAAUUUGUUUGGUUGAAUGUAGUUGAGAAAUAAUUUUUAAAAUUUUAUCACUUUAUAUAUAUGAUGGUGAAAUUACCUCCAACAUAACAAAAUUAUUUUUUGUUUAAAGAUAAUUAAGGAGGUAAGCAUACAUUUUGUUUAAAGUUGUGCUCUUCAACUGCUGCAAUUGGAAUUACGGCCAAUUUAAGCGUAGUUCGAACUGCUGCAGUUAGGCCUCCUUCUGCAGUUUCUAGUGCAACAGUUAAAGAUAAAUAUAUUAAACGAGAAAUGAUUCGGUACUUUAUUUUAUAAAAAAUAAAAAUGAUCUUAACCGUUGAUUAAUAGAGGGUAAAAAUGUNACUAAAAAUUCUUUUUUAUGAUUUUACGUUGAACCAAACGGAUCCUAAUUGAAGUCACUAAAUUCAGAAAACGUAAAAGCUGAGUAUCAAUUCUAAAGAAAAAAAAAAAAAUUUGAGGGACCAUUUCACAAACGACUGUAGUUGAGGGUGUCACCAUAAAUUUAUAUUUAAUUAUAUGUAAAAUGAUAUAACAAUGAUGGCUAAUUAUAUUUAGAGAAUAAUGCAAAGUUUAAGUAAAGAAACAUCUAAAUACUAUAUUAAAUAUUUUUAUAUUCUAUCACAUAAAGACACAUUAAAAAAAAAAUCUAAGUACUAUACUAAAUAGUUUUAUAUUCUAUCACAUAAAGAAACAUUAAAAAAAUAAACUGAUAAAUUUAAUUCGCAUAUGAUAUUAUGUUAAUAUAUAUAUAUAUAUAUAUCAUAAAUGGCCAUAUUGUCAACUUUUAUAAGCUUGUUCGAAUUAAAAGAGAGUUAAAUAGUAAUUAAAUUAAUGAAAUAACAAUUUUACCCUCAACUAUCCAUUGUAAGGUAAAAAUAUUAAUACAAUUUAUUUUUUAUAUUAUUUUAUUUAAGAACUAGUUUGCAAUUUUAUAUCUUAUAGCAUAAUUUUAAAAAAAAAAAUUUCUUAUCAAGUGUGUGAUCUAUUGUCUUUUAUCUGUUGAAUUUGUCUUUUUAAAAAAUUUGUUAAAACUAUGAAAGUUGCUUUUCUAAUUAUAAGUUUAUUAAAUUUUAAAAAUAAAAUUUUAGAGCUAAUUGAUCAUAUUUGCAUGAAUUUUAUUAGGGUCAUUUAAAUAUAUUUCUGACUUUUACGAGGACAUUGGUGAUAUUUUAAAAUUUAAAUAGCCAUUGAUUAUAUUACAGUUCGGUACGUAAAAGAGCAUUCAAAAAAUUAUUUAUUUAUAUUAAAUAUUUCAAUAAUAUGUGUCAAUGACAUGUACUUAAUUUUUCUAUUUGCUUGACUCGGUUCAAAUGCUGUAGUUGAAACGCGCUUGCUUUAUAUUGAUCGAAACAUUAAUUAAUCAAUUUAUUUAUUUAUUUAUUACGCAUUUUAUUUUGUUCUUAUUUCUCACCUGAUAUGUAUUUGUUUAUAAGGGAGUGUUUGGUUUCUCCAAAAAUAUUUUAGAAAAUAAUUUUUUGGAUGAAAAAAUUAUUUUUUUAUCAGUUUGAUUUCUUAAAAAAAUAUUUUUUUUGGAAAUUUUUGCUUUUAGAUUUCACGAAAAACUAGUAUUUUAGUUUUUUAAGUAUUUUAUUUAGAAAAUAAAAACUCUAGGAAAAAAAAAAUAUUAUUCAUAAUUUUUUUUCAAAAACACUCUUUUCCAAGAAGCCAUACACACCAUGAGCGCCUUCUUUGUUAUUGUGAUUCACCUAAGAUCAACAGAUAAAAUAGAAUUGGGACAAAAGUAUAAAAAUAUAUUUCUGUGUUUUUUUGGUGGAAUUGCAGAAACCAUUCAACUCAUUGCGAUAUGCGAAAUGCGAUAUUACAUACGAAAAUAAAUAGAAUAUUUUUUUAUCGUACUUUUUCACCGUAUAUAAUAUUAUCUCUCUGUAAUUCCAAAUGUAGUCUAAUACAAUUACUUUGAAUAUAUUUAUUUAUAUAUAUUUUUAAUGAAAAAAAAAUAUUAUUAUGUCCUUCAAAACGGCGCCCUUCUCAUUCAUGCCGCUUCACACAUACUUAGUUUAAUGUUGCCACAAAAAAAAAAGUUUUUUUUGUAGGUACAAAUACAUGAACACCCCUUAAUUUUAAUUACCUUCUCAUUUGGGACUUUUGAUUUAAAUUCACUUUUUGAUUUCUAAAGGGCAAAAUCGUCAUUUCACAUUUGGCUAACUUGGAGGGAGAAUCGCGGGGCGACCACGCACUUGUUCUCGCACGAGUAUCAACGCACCCUCACACGUGCGACCCAUUUACCCGUUGACCGACCUUGCCCCGUGCGAAAUGACUUAUUUACCCCCUACACGAGAGAAACUUAUCUGCACCGGGUCUACCCGUGUGCGUGCUCUGUUCAUACCAUAUUAAAAACCAACCUACAUUGAACCCUAUUAUUUUCCAAAUCACAUAGUUUCAAAAAUUACUGUAUUAUUAAAGGACUAUCAUUUAAUUUAUAAAAAAAAAUGAUUUCUAAAUAUAAUUUGUUCCAUGCAAAUACACCCGGUGCACGAAACGAUUUCUCUACGAACUCCACAUUAGGAAUUGCGAGGGCAAAUCCGGAAUUUGUGGGGUUUUUUUUUUUAAGGAAAAAAAAAAAAGGUUUCUUUCGAGGGUGUUGGUUUACGUUUCCAUCGACAUUUGGAAGGUACGCGUCGAGAACGGGGUGGGGCCCACGAACCUCGUAACCGUAACGGUAACGGAAACGGGAACGGAAAACGACGUGGCUCCGCCGUGAAAUAUCCUCCGUUGCAGGCGCCGUUACCGAGACGCCUCGUGCGUCCACUUCCCGGCUUUUGGACACCCCUCUAUUUCCACUCCUGUUUUUUAACUCAUAUCACGCACGCUAAACUACACUUUGGUCCUCCAACUAUGAAUUUCUGACACUUUCGUAUUCAAAAUUUGGGUUAAUUGCAUACAGGUCCCUAUAAAUAUAGUAAAUUACAAAUAGAUUCCUAUACAGUUCAACUUUUAUAUAUUGUUUAUGUAAAAGUCCUGAUAUUUUCAAAAAUGUUCCUGUCAUUUUGUUAAUUAUAGAUUAAAUACUUAACUCUAAUUUGUUAAUACGGUAAAUUGACCCUUUUAUCCCUCUUCAAUUAACAGUUGGAACUUUUGGAGGGAUUUUAGAGGGACAUAAUUGUGAUGGCAAAAAGGUCAUUUCACUUAUAAAAUUUACUACUCCUAACAAAGAGCGGUAAUGCCCCAUUGAUAGACAUUGCUUUAACGGUAACAAAUUAGAGUGAUAUAUUUGAAAACAUUAGGACUUUUAAAGAAACAAUAUAUGAAAGUUGAACUUUGUAAUGAUGUAUUUGUAAUUCACUAUAUUUGUAGGGAUCUGUAUGAAAUUAAUCCUUAAAAUUUAAUUUGCUGUAAUUACUUCAAACUCAGAAUUAUUAUAAUUAAGUACUACAAUUUAAUUUAGGUAAAUAUUAAUGCGCAACCAAUGUAAAAAUGAUAUAGUACUAUUGUGGUUGAUGAUACGAUAAUAAUUGAGAUGUCAUAUUAUUUUUACAUGAACAAUAUAUCACAAUUUAGUCAACUAAAACCUAAUUAUAAUAAUUCAAAAAAUUUUAAGUUAGAGAUUAUAAUAAAGUAAUUGUAAUAAUUCGAAUUUCCUCGAAUGUAUAAUUUUGACAUCUGUAGUCUAAUUUAUCCAAACAACUUUCACCUCGAAACACAACACACACCCACAAAAAUAAUAAAUAAAUAAAAUAGGGAAAACUUUAAACAUCACCUCCGUGGUUUUACAUUUUUUCACUUUAGUAUUCUGUAGUUUAAAAUGUAUCAAUUUAUUGCCCUGUGAUUUCACUUUAAUCUUUUUAUUGUCGAUUUCACUAAUUUUUUUCGUUAAAUCAGUGACGAAGUUAAAACAAAAGAGUGCUAAAGUGAAUAUUCGAUAAAUCUAGAUGGGAUAUCUGAAGUUUUUGGUGUAUAAUUUAACAAAAUAUUAACGAAAAAACUGACGAAAAUAUAAAAAUAAAACCACAUGACACAAAUUUGAUACACUUUAAAUCAUAGGGUACUAAAAUGAGAAUGUGAGAAACCAGGGGGUGGUAUUUGAAGUUUA